rnacentral:lncRNA from 1 species
AAUUAUCAGUCUCAAUAUGGUACAAAGCCCCAAGACACAGAUGAGUAUGGAAACCCGAUUCAACAGGGUACUACGGGAGGCUUCGGUAGUGCCACCACUGGUACUGGGUACGGGACCACUGAAACCCCGUACACAGGAGGGCAGCAGCAACAAGAGAGAGGUACUGGCAUGACUGGAAGUGGUUACGGGACUACUGAUGCCCCGUACACAGGAGGGCAGCAGCAACAAGAGAGAGGGAUGAUGGAUAAGAUCAAGGACAAGAUUCCAGGAACUGGUGGUGGACGUAGGGAUGACGACCCCUACUCAUCGAAUGCCCAGACCGGUACUGGCAUGACUGGAACUGGGUACGGAACUACUGACGCCCCGUACACUGGAGGGGAGUACGAAGAAAGGGGGAUGAUGGACAAGGUCAAGGACAAGAUUCCGGGGACUGGGCAGAGGGAUGAAACCUACUCAUCUAAGACGGCCUCCACCACCGCACCUUACGGUGGCACCACCGGAGAGCACCAGGAAAAGAAGGGCGCCAUGGACAAGAUCAAAGAAAAGCUUCCCGGUGGACGCCAUUAAAUAUAUAUGUGUGUGCGCGCGUAUGUAUUCUAGGGUCUUUUGAUGUGCUAAUAACCGGUGCUUGGUGUGAUUGUGUGAACGUAAUUUCUUUCUUACGUGCGCGAGUGAGCAGCGAGCACUUCGCAGUGUCAGUGUGUGUUUUGUAAUCGGUACUUUGUGGUUUUAUCAAUAGAGCAAUAGUAUUCUAGUUUCCGUAUAUUUUAACCCGUUCUUUGAUUGGGAAUCUCACUAUAUCAAAAGAUAAGUUAAAUAAAGACAAUUCUGUAAUUUUACUGGCCUCCAUUGAACUGGAGCGCCAACGGAAGGAAUCAUUCUUUGGCAACGUUCAAUGAUUGAAACUUCAAUCAGAAACGAAAAGAAAUUGAUCGAAUUUUUUUCAUCUAAUUAAAUAGGAUUAAAAUCACAUAAAAUACUUAUAAUAGUAUAAAAUUAUUGUAGUAUAGAUGUUCAUACAACGUCGUUUUUUUUAAUGAUUAUUUGGAUAAUUUAUGUAAAAACAAUUCCUAAUUAACUACUUAAGAUUAAAAAUUCUUUGAAGAGUUUUUGAACUUGAAUAAUAUUAAAAACGUUUUUAAUUAAAAUUUAAUAGUAAAUUCUCCCAAAAAUAAUACAACAAAAGAGAAGAGUUUUUUAAAUACCAAUUUAUAAAAACACUAGAACUCCAUCACCUAUUAAUCCUAUGCAUUUAUAUCAAUUAUUUAUGAUCUACACAUGUCAUUUUGAAGAUUAUGUUUUCUUAAUAUAUAUCCUACUUGGAACCUCUAACAUAGAACGUAUAUCUAACAUGCAAUUCGUCCGGACGUUCGGAUCAAAUCUGAACAUGAAACUCAUUAGGUUUUAUGAAAACUCUUUGAAAAAUCAUGCAACCCUUAAAACGUGGUGUUCAUCUUAAGUGAAAUUACAAUUAAUAAUCACAAGAAGCCAGCGUCAAUUUCAGGGAACUUUCUGACAAAAAUUACAUCAAAUUAAUUUUCUAAAGAUCCUAAUGGUGAUCAAGCAUUAAGAUAAUUAGAUAGUUUUAAUCACAGUGCACUACUACAAUAUUAGCUUUAGGUGGUUGAUGAUGGUGGUGGAUAUUAAAAACAUCCUGUCAGAUAAAUUAUAUCCGACACAUCAUUUAAUUAGUGGCGGAUAUUAGAAAAAUUAUGUCGGUUAUAUCCUAUAUAAAGUCCUGGCGGAUAUAAAAAAUAUCAUGUCGGUUAUAACCGACAGUAAUUUUUAAUACUUUUUUAAAAAUAAUUUUGAAAGAUUUUGGCGGUUUUUAAGUUAAUGGUGGCAGUUAUAACCGACAGAAAUGGACUAUUUUAUUAUUUUACCUUCUGGCGGUUAUUAUUUUAGUAUUUUGGCAGUUAUAAUCGACAGAAAUAAAAAAUUUAUUAUUUUAAAAUGUUAUAUUGAUUAAAAAGAAAUAAAUAAACACAUUUAAAUUUUUUUUUUCACUUAUGACUCUAAAGUCUAAUGAAUCUAAUUCCCCCGAGCCAUAAAUUUUUUGAGAGAAUAAUAACAACAUACUACAAUCUGAAACUCUAUCAUUUUUGUAAUAACGAUUAUGCUCCCUCACAGAAAAGCAACAAGAUACAAAGAAAUUCAAAUAAAUUUUUUCAAUGCGUCACAAAGCACAUUGUAUGGCACAUAAACAUACAUGAACAUCUGAUGUACUCUAUCAUGUCUGAUUUUAUUAUUUUAAAAUGUUAUGUUGAUUAAAAAUAAAUAAAUAAGCACAUGUUUUAAAUAUUUAUUUUUUUUCACUCAUGGCCCUAUCAGAUAUAACCGACACGAACAAAGCAAAAUUUCGACGGUUCUCCGAAUGUUUUUAUUUUUUGCGAUUUUUUACACAUGCUAUCUCGGAGUAUAUAUACACAUAUUUGACGGUUGGAUCGUUGAAACUAAUUUCGUAGAAUGCAUAUCCUGUCAAAUUGAUAGAUUUAACAAACAUUUAAGAGUUAAUGUUAUACUUCCAUUAAGUAUUAAAAUAAGAUUUAUCCACUAGUGUAAAUAUUUUAAAUUGAAGAUCGAAUUCAUUCAUUGCAUUCUUAUAGGGUCGAGGAGUGCAGCUGUAAAAAAUCAUCAAAAUCGGAGCUAAAAUAACCGUUAAAUUGUGAUUUUUCGUUUAUAACCAUCGAAAACUUUUGUUCCGUUACCUAAUAUCUGAAUGUUUGUUUUUUAUGAUCUUUUACGUAUGCGAUCUCGGAGUGUGUACAAACAAGUUUGACGGUUGGAUCGUUGAAAAACAUUUCGUAGCAUGCGUAUCACAUCAAAACAGUAGAUUAAACAAACACUUAGAGUUAAUGUUACACUUCCCCAUCAAGUAUAAAAUAAGAUUUUGUGGUAUCCACUAGUUUAAAUAUUUUAAAUUAAGGAUCAAAUUUAUUCAUUACAUUCUUAUAGGGUCGAGGAGUGUAGCUGUAAAAUCAUCAAAAUCGGAGCUAAAAUAACCGCUAAAUUGUGAUUUUUCGUUUAUAACCGUCGAAAACUUUUGUUCCGUUACGUAAUAUCUGAAUGCUUGUUUUUUACAAUUUUUUACGUAUGUAAUCUCGGAGUGUGUACAAAUAAGUUUGACGGUUGGAUCGUUGAAAAAAAGUUUCGUAGAAUGCAUAUUGCCUCAAAACGGUAGAUUAAACAAACACUUAGAGUUAAUAUUAUACUUCUAUUAAGUAUAUAAUAAGAUUUUGUGGUAUCCACUAGUGUAAUGUCACAGCCCAUUCCGGGAAUAUAUAUCGAGGAUGUGAAAUGACGAUACUGCCCUUGAAGUUACUAAGGUGGGUGUGUGACAUACUAUGUUCAUAAUGUUUAUUUUCCUAAGUUUGGAAUUUUUUUUUAGCUUAAUGGGUUGUUAUUUGUGUGGUUAAGGUAGGGUGGACCACACACACACUCGGUCUUCUCUCUCUCCCUUUCCCCCGUGCUCUCCCUUCCUCUUCCCCGUUCUAUCUCUCUCUCACCCUUCGAAAUUGUACGGACAAGAACCAGGGACAUCAAAACUCCACGGAUCGAAGCCAAAAAGGUAUGGUUCUUCAUCCUUUCGACCUCCUGAGUCGUUUGGUGCUAGUUUUAGGAAGUGAAACCUUCGAAAUCACGUGGAACCCGAACCCCCAUAUUAUAUCACUAUUCAUGCAAUCGUGAUAUGUUGCAUUCCAGGGAAUUCUAAGCUUAUAGUGAGCUUAGUGAGGUCCCAAGGAAGCUCGGAGUGCUUCGUUUGAAGGUUUUGGACGUUGGGAUCACUAGGUUCGAUUUUGGCCGGUUUUUCUUGGAAUUGUUCCGGUGAGAUUUAGUUGUUUUUAGAGCCUUAAAGUAGUAUAUUGUAAAACUACAUGUUGAGGGCUUCAAAUUGAUAUAAAAUACGAAGAAAACGGGUGAGAAAUGAGGGAGAACAAGGGGAUUGAAAAAUCCCAAAUUUUUCCGGCCACCGGAAAACACAGUCCGGCGAACCCAGGGAAGAAGAUGCGCGUGGGGGGGGCGCGUGUGCCCGUGCCUGCCUUGGCGCGUGGGGGCGCGUGCCACUUCCAAAAAAUUUUCUAAAAAUUUCUUGACGUCCGUGACGUUGAGUAGGUUGAUGUGGUAUAUUCAUAUACCCAAAUUGAGCACCGUAUGAGAAGUUAUUUCGAAUUAUCGGUUAUGUGCAUUAAUUAAUGUUUUUAUAGUUGUUUCGCAUAUAGGUGACACCUAUCCCGAGGACGAGCGCAUCCAGGGACGUCACGGGGGUUACGACCCAUCGACUUACCUGUGAGUGGGCAGUUUUGUUUUUCGUAUUACCUAUAUACUAUUAAUUCUCCCAGAAAUUGAAUUUAUAUGAAAGUAUGUUUCAAUUGCCAUGCAUACAUAUUAUGAAUAUUAUGAAUUGAUGUUAAUGCAUAUAUAUGUGUGAAUUGGUGCUGUGGACGCACAUGUGAGUAUCAGGUGAGUGUUAUGGUAAUCAUGUGAAUCAUCGAUAAUGUGAAUUGUGUUGAGAAUCCAUAAUCUGCACCCUUGAUGUUAGUGCUCAUAUUAUUCACCGCACCGCACGCUCAUCUUGGAUCCAAGUAGGUGCAUGUCGUACAUACCAUGUGAGGGUUCCGACAUGCUAGUCGUACAGACCACUAGAGGUGGUUCCGAUUAGUAGGUGACUUUCGAUUAUAUGCGCAGAUCAUUGAUGAGAGAAGCACUAGAGCGUAUUAUUUCACCAUCUUGGUCGUAUAGACUACUAUAGGUAGUUCCGACUUAUGUGCAGUGUAGUGUCGUACAGGUCACAGUUGGUGACUCCGGCAGGGCCGUACAGGUCACGGUUGGUGACUCCGGCUGGAUGGGAUUUUGAGCUAUUGAAUCAGCCGUACAAGGCCAUUGCGGGGUCUCCGGUUGAUUUAUUAUUUUCACCUGAUUUAUUUUGAUGCAUUCAUAUUAUAUUUUGGCAUGGAAUGACUUAUUCUAUCUGAAAGCGUUGAAGGAUUGUGAGUGAGCUUUUGAUGAUCUAUAUAUGUUUAUAUACCAUUUUUCUGGGAAAGUAUAUAGGUUUUACAGUGAGGGGUUAGAAAUGUUUUAAAUAAAUGUUUUAAAUAAAUGUUUUGGAAAGCUUUGGUUUUACUGACCCACUCAAUUUUGUUUUUGCGCCCCUCCAGGUUCUAGCUAGCAGUUGGCAGCUCUCGAGAUUCUCUUCGGCAUUUUGACAGACAUCCUGCAUGUAGGACUCACCUGCGGGUGUUGUAACUUAAUUAUAGUCCUAAUUGACUGCACCUAGUACCUUCGCUCUGAAUUGUGUGUUUUACUUUAUAACUCGCUCUAGCACACUAGUCAGUUUUUACUGCUAGUAGUUGGUUUUUAUUCCUUCGUAUUUCUUAUUUCCUUACUUCCGUAUCGCACUUUUGGUUAUGUCACACUCACGUGCCGGCCAGCACGCCCUGAUUUCUGGGUCGGGGUGUGUCAUGUAAAUAUUUUAAAUCGGAGCUAAAAUAACCGUUAAAUUGUGAUUUUUCGUUUAUAACCGUCGAAAACUUUUGUUCCAUUAAAAUCUCUUAAUUUUUUUUUUUGCGAUCUUGUAGUAUCUACAAACAAGUUUGAUGGUUAAAUCAUGGACACUAGUUUCGUAGAAUGCAUCUCUCCGUUAAAUUUGCCUGAAUUUUGAAGUGGGAAAAGUAAUUUGUGCUAAAUUUUUAUUAUGUUUUUCAAGUAUUGGUUUAGUUUGUUUGAUGACAUUUUCAUUGUAUAAUUUUUCCAUUUAUUUAUUUAUUAAACCAAACAAUUAUUAUUUUAUUUUUUAAAAUCGUAACAAAUUUUUUUUUGGGGGGGGGGGAGGGAAUUUAAAAUUUUGGAAGGGAAUUUUUGAAGGGAAAUAAUGAGAUUCAUGUGGGAUUUCUAGUGACUAGCAUGCAUAUACAAUUCAAAAUUCAUAUACAUACGCAACGGAAGCAUGUUAUCACAUAAUAUCAAAGUUAUAGUCAUGCAAAUCCCCUUCAAGAAGCAUAGGUUUAUAUAAGAUGCAUCAAAACAUUUUAUUGAAGAACAAAGUGUAGGAGUAGAUUUACACCUCUUGAUCUAGACUUGAGACCAAGGAUAGACCACCUUCAAGCCUUUUGUUGUUGGAACUCCUUGAGCCUAGCCUCCCUCCUUACUUCCUCCACCUUAUUAGAAUGAGUGCUCCUUGGUUCUCUUUUAGUCUCCAAGGUUGAAGACCUCUAAAGAUCCACACCCACUAGUGUAGUGAGAUGGAUGGAGGAAUAACCAAAGGGAGAGAAGAUGAUUAGCUAAAUCUCCCUUAUGGUGGCCGGCCUUGUGUGGUUUUAGAGAGAGAGAUGUUUUCUUCCUUUUGUGAAAAACAACACACAAAACCCUAAAUGAACUUUUCACUAUAAAGUUCCUUUUAUAACACAAAGAAACAAGUCAACAACUUGACUCUCUCUCUCCCUCUCUUUGGCCGGCCCCCUAAGUGUUAUUUGGGCUUUGAGCUUUUAUCAUUUCAAGUCAUCAAAUGCUUGAAUAAAAGCCCAAUGGGUUUGGGCUUAAUGGGCCCAUAUUAACCCGAACUUUUCUCUAAGCCCAAAACGAUCUUUUAUCGCUUUUAUGACUUCUUUAGACUUUCUAAUUAAUCACAACACUUAAUUAAUCCAAUUAAUUAUUUCCAUCAUCCAUUAGUUGUCUCACUACAAGAGUGUAUCGGUGUACAAUCAUUUUAGGUUCUAAUUAGCAAGGCAGUGAGGUGAUUGGCACCAAUCCAAUUGAUUAUAUUUAAUCCAAUCACUUAGUGAAUUAAAACUUACUUUUAAUUCUCCUUCUUCUUUGACGACUACUUAUUUAAUCAUCUAGAAGAACUCACAAGCCAUGAGUGACAUCUAACCAUAUAUCAUGGCUACACAAGCUAAUGUAGAAUUUGUUCAGAGAACCUAUUCAGUUGGAAUUACAAUGUAAUUCGAUCAUUCUCUAAUACAAUACUCUCAAUCACAUUAUUAGGGUAUUGAUAUAUUAUGUCAAGCCCCUAAUGUGAUUAUCCCAUGUUAUAUGAUUCAAUUGAGUCGUAUAGGAACGCUUUCCUUUAUUACGCUCGAUACUUCGGCCGAAGAUUCCCGAAUCAUAUCUUAGAGUAUUCUUCCUCUCAUAACGAGGAUUAGAGAUCCCUUGUUGCGCAUUUACUUGCCUCCAUGGCUAAGUGGCUUAACCCCAACUAUGCCGUGGACACCCGUGAAUGGAGUGACUUUGACAUAAUCAAAGAUCAAGGACCUAACCACAAGACAACUAUGAUGCCUCAGGUCAAAGGACUACUUACAUUAUUCCAACCAUUAGAGUUACUUGCUUGACAUGUGAGUAGACCUCCAUGCAAGUACUCUCGUUCGAAUGUGUUCAGUGAACUCAUUCCCUUAAUGAGCACCUAUAUACCUGUCUUAGUGUCACUACACGAAUGGGAUGAGACUUUCCAUCCUUCCAAUUGAAGGGGACAUAGUAUGUACUGGUCUUUGCAUUGUCAGUAUCCCUCUGACAAUCAUAUGACCAGGAACCUUUUUGGACAUGAUGGUUAUGUGAAGAAGGUCUCUGUAGUCUAACAUCAUUAGAUUACUUAUUCCAUCGAUCCAUUGUCCAUGGAUUCACUAUUUAGGACAUAUAUCGUUUAUUGAGAUAGUCCUAAUUAGUAUCUUUGCCUUUUGAUGUAUAAGAGUCAUCUAUACAUACAUUCAUUGUCCUGAAAGUUUUCUUCCAAAGAUUGACUUUCAGGGCAUAUUUCCAACAAUUUUGGGGGUAUUUUGGCGGCCAUAUUUUUUUCUGUCGGUUAUAACUGACAGCAGGUGAAAAUUUUCAGUCGGUUUGUAUUUUAAAAAAAGUUUUUGUCUGUUUUAACCGACAGUAAUGAGCAUUUUCCAAAAUAAAACCUAUGAAGUAGCAGAAAAAAAAAUGGAAGCUGAGCCAUCCAGAAGAAGACUGAAAGCCCCAAACCCUCUCUCCGAUUGCACCAACACCAUUUCCUCCACCACCACCCUAGCUAGUGCCGCCUCUUCGCAGUCCUCAUCCUCCUUCACCAUCAAGCUCAAAUGCCAGAAUCCCAAGCUCGCCGCCAUCACCGAUUACCUCAUCUCUGCUUUAGAUCCCAAGCCCUCGGUAGUUCCGCCUUCGAUACCUUCCACUCCUCAUCGCCCUCAUCUUGUCUCGUCCUCCGCUUCCGGUAAUUUCUCUACUAUACUUUUGAUUUCUCUGUUUCUCGCCUUGGGUUUGGGUGUGAUUUUUGCUUUGUUCUGGUUUUAAUUUCAAUUUGGGAAUCUAGGGUUUUUGAAUUUUUCUAGAAGAACAUGAGGUCGCUUGGAAUUUGUUUGUUUCAAUCCUUAAUCGUACCUUCUAUUGAUAUUAGUUGAAAUGUGUUGCUUUGUGUUUGCAUUUGAGUGCGUAUUUUGAAUGCUUUGUUUGAAUACUUGAAUUGAACUUGAUGCUAUGCUUCAAUAGUGGGAACUUUAACGAAGUAUUGUUCAAUUUCAUCAGAUGGUCAGUUAAGGGUGGUCGCUGAACCUACAGAUUUUGUGCAUAUAUAUAGCACAAAGGCAGAUUACAAAGUGCGGCAAGAGAUUGAUUUCUUUGGGGAGAUAUCUGGUGUAUCAAUGAGUCCCGAUGACGAGUCUUUGUAUAUAGGAAUCUGGGACUGAACCAUCCGGAGAGAAAAACCGACGACGAGUCAAGAUGAGGAAGUAAUCUUAUCUCUUGGUUUCGUCGGUUUUAGGGUUGAUUUUUGUUUCUGUUUUCCUUUGUUUUUGUUCAUUGUAUGAGAGCUUUCUGUUUUUCUGGGAUGGAUUGUUGUGUUUUGUGUUGGGAAGAAGGUUGGUGGAGUUGGCUUUUCUCUUCUGUUUUUCUGUAGAUUCUGAUGUCGAGCAGAAAGGGAAAAGAAUGCUCAACGAGAAGAAGAGUUCUGCUCUCAUGUCCUGUUUAUUUAUUUUUAUUAAUAUAUUUGAUGUCGGUUUUAUUCGACAGAAAAUGCUUUAGUUAUUUUUUAUUAAUAUUUCUUGUCGGUUAUAGCCGACACAAGUUCUGUUGGUUUUAUCCGAUAGAAAAUACUCUUAUUUAUUCUUUUUUAAUAUACUUUCUAUCGGUUAUAUCCGACACAAGUUCUGUUGGUUUUAGAGUAUUUUCUGUCGGAAAAUUCAUUUCCUGACGCUGGCAAUUUUGUCUCUUAUUAUAUCUGUCACUGCAUCCAUUUUCUGUCGGAUUUUGCAUAAUAUUUGACAGUAAUAUAUGUUUCUUGUCGGUUUUUGGACCGCCAUAAAUAGAUAAUUUUGUAAUAGUGGUGAUUAAUAAUUCAACGUAUGCAUGCAAUCAAUGAUAAGCAAUUAAAUAAAAAUUACAUAUUCAUGCUUAAGACUCAAGGCUUCGCUCUAACAAAACGGAUUAGUUACGCAUACUCAUAAUAAAAAUCAAAGAAAAUAUCAUUAACUAGAAAAAGAAUGAAAACACAUUGUAGGUGAAAAAUAUGAAAUUCUUCAAAGCUUUGCUAAAUUUUCUCAAUGUCGUGUAGAGAACCCUAAUAGCUAAAAACCUUAUUUAUACUACUACAAAUUAAAACCCUCACAAUCAAAGGUCUUAGAAUAAGACUAGGAAACCUAAUUUUGAAAUAAAUUAGGAAACAUAAUUCUAAAUUAACUUGGUAAAUUCGCCUAAAAAUCUGCACAGCCACGUUUUGGACCCAAAUCAGCUCCAAAACUGGCCCAAAAAAGCUGGAUUUAAAGUUUGAACUAUUUUGAACACUUCUCCAGAAGGAUAAUAACCCAUCUGAGGUCAUCUUGGGCUCUAAAAACAUAAUUUAAGCCCAAAAAUGUCACUUUUCAGCACUGCACAAUGGUCCUUUAUUCCAUCGCCAGAAAAUAACUGCUUGGUAGAAAAAUCCCAAAUUUUGACACGAACACACCAAGAGACACACAAACGUUCUCCAAUUUGAAUCACUCCAAAAUUCGUCCGUUUGAUCAUGUUUUGCUUCAGAAGAAGUCAAAUGUCCUAUAUUGAAAAUAUAAAAUAAAGUAUCAAAAUUCUAUCAAAAUAUAUCAAAACUAGGGAAUAAUAUAUAGUAUAAAAUCAACUCAUUAGAAUUGAGGCUCCCAACAUAAAAUACCAUUAAAGUCCACACUAGCAAUACUAGAUAUGAAGAACAAAAAGAACUUUUCGUUAUAUUUUAUGAUAAUUUUGAAGACUGUCCAGACUUCUUUUAUGACAAUCUUUGAAAAUGUUCGGAGUUGCGAUGCUAGGUGGCAUGGGGACGAUAAUUGAAACCAAACUUUGCAAAGACGGAGAAAAAAACUGAAAUCAAUAGCGCAAAUUAAAAAAUAUAUUAAUAUUUCAUAUAUCUUCUCAAAACCAUCAUUCAUCAUGGUGAACUUUGUACUCAUCAUAUACUACACAAAAAUGGAAGGGGAAAACGUGGCCUUUGUACUAAUGGGCAGUUUUCUUUUAGUGAUUCAUCAUAGAGGACUUUAUAAUCUUUUUCCAAACUUAAAUGUAGAGAACAAAGAAAGUGAAAAUGGAAGAAGGGACCGGUAUUCAAAACAAAAACGGUUCUACAAUGUAAAAAGGAUGAACUAUACUUUUGAAAGUGAAAGUGGAAGAGGGUUGGUAUUCAAAACAAAAAUAGUUCUAGAACGUAAAAAGGAUGGGCUAUACUUUUCAACGAAUAGUGAUUUGCUUGAAAAAAUACUGGUAUUUGAACCCAUUUAAGUUAAAAGACAAAUAUUAAGAGAUCACAUUUAUAGUAAAAAGAUGAGCUACAUUUGAAUUAAGAGAUCAUAUAUAUGUUAAUCAGUGGCGGAUCCACAGUGGGGUCAAUGGGGUCGCACGACCCCUUGGAAGCCAUAGGAACAACCUUAGAGACCCCUUGGAGCUGCUGGUGCGACCCCCUGGCUGCACACCAAGUGUUCGACAAAAGGUCUCAGCUGGGCAGCAGGUUGAAGACGAAGGCGCUCACGCGCCUAUUUUUUUUUCAAAACGACCUGGGCAAAACGACGUCGUUUUGGCCCAGGAAAUUUUUUUAAAUGACUUGGCCAAAACGACGUCGUUUUGGGCCAGGUCUGAAAAAAAAAAAAUGCCCAGCGUGUCCUGGGCAGGUCUGAACAAAAAAAAAAAAAAAAAAAAACUUAGCGUGUCCUUUCAGCCCUAUUUUACACAGAUCCGAAUCCCUUCAUUCUAAAACCCCCAAAUUUCUUGUUUUCUCCUCCUCCAACCCUAAGUUCCAAAAUCAAUCCCCCCUAAACCCUCAACUCCAUCUCCUCCCUUGCUGCCGCCAUUAAGGUGCCUUUGUUGCUGCCGUCGUCGUCACUGUGGUGGUGGUGCCACCAGCUUUGCUGCUCAUUGUUAUUGUGAAAUUUCACAAUUCAAGUAAGUUCUAAACCCUAUGUAUGAUAUAUUUAAUUUAAUUGAAACCUAAUUCAUAUUUAUUUUGAUUAUAUUGGUGGUUUGUUUAUAUUGUGAGUAUUUAUUUUGAAUAUUUUGUAUAUGUAGAAUAUAUUUAAUUUAAUUGAAAUUCAAUUCAUAUUUAUUUUGAUUAUAUUGAUGGUUUGUUUAUAUUGUGAGUUUUUAUUUUCAUUAUUUUGUAUAUGUAGAAUGCAAGAUGAGAUAUUUAAUUUAAUUGAAACCUAAUUCAUAUUUAUUUUGAUUAUGUUGGUGGUUUGUUUAUAUUGUGAGUAUUUAUUUUGAAUAUUUUGUAUAUGUAGAAUAUAUUUAAUUUAAUUGAAAUUCAAUUCAUAUUUAUUUUGAUUAUAUUGAUGAUUUGUUUAUAUUGUGAGUUUUUAUUUUCAUUAUUUUGUAUAUGUAGAAUGCAAGAUGAGAUAUUUAAUUUAAUUGAAAUCCAAUUCAUAUUUAUUUUGAUUAUGUUGAUGGUUUGUUUAUAUUGUGAGUAUUUAUUUUGAAUAUUUUGUAUAUGUAGAAUUAUUAUGGAACGGUUUUUUAAGAGAAAGUCAUCAUCGGGUUUGGGUAGUUCGAAUAAUGUUGAUAGUUCAAAUACUGUUGGUAGUUCAAGAACUCCAAGUUCAAGACAAAGUCAGUUAGAUGAUGUUUUGGGUAAUCUUGAAGCGGAUCCUGGAUUGGGAACUCGAAUAAUGGAUUAUGAUGCUAAUACGAGAGAUGUGAUUCGAAGAUCAUAUCUACAAAAAGGACCUUGUCAACCUAGAGGUCAUAAUUUCCCAAUAACUAAUAUGUCGGGAAUUAAUCGACGCUUCAUUCCCCAAUGGUUUGAUGAGUUUGAUUGGUUGGAGUAUAGUAUAUCUAAAGAUGCGGCAUUUUGUCUCUAUUGCUAUCUCUUUAAAACCAAUUUUGCAUAAGUGGGUAGUGAAGCUUUCACUGGAGAUGGAUUUAAGACUUGGAAGAAAGGGAGAGAAAGAUUUAAGAUGCAUGUUGGACCGGUUGGGAGUGUUCAUAAUAAGGCUAGAGAAGCUGCUACAAAUUUGAUGAAUCAAGCUACACAUAUUGAAACGGCAGUGAGUAAACACUCCGACCAAGCUCGUAAGGCUUAUCGCACAUGCUUGGAUGCAUCAAUCAAGUGCACUAAGUUUUUAUUGCGACAAGGUCUUCCUUUUCGUGGCCAUGAUGAAAGUGCCACUUCAAGCAAUAGGGGAAAUUACUUGGAGCUAUUGCAAUUCCUUGCAGAUAAUAAUGAUAAAGUUAGAGAAGUUGUGAUGGAAAAUGCUCCGGGGAAUCUCAGAUUAGUAGCUCCUAGCAUUCAAAAAGAAAUUGUGAAUUCAUGUGCCCUUGAAACACUUGAUGCUAUCAUGGAUGAUCUAAAAGAUAGAUUCUUUUCAAUAUUGGUGGAUGAAGCACGUGAUGUGUCGGUGAAAGAGCAAAUGGUUAUGGUGUUGCGUUAUGUGGAUGACAACGGGCAUGUAAUUGAAAGAUUUGUGCGUAUCCAACAUGUUACCAACACUACUUCAAGUUCACUAAAGGAUGCUAUUGAUACAUUAUUUUCUCGCAACGGUUUGAGCAUUUCCAAGCUACGAGGACAAGGUUAUGAUGGUGUUAGCAAUAUGAGAGGUGAGUUGAAUGGCCUUAAAACAAAGAUAUUGAGAGAACAACCUUGUGCAUAUUAUGUUCAUUGCUUUGCUCAUCAACUUCAACUAGCUCUUGUUGCUGUAGCAAAGUAGAAUAUAGACAUUGCCUUUUUUUUUGCAACGGCUAAUAGUGUGGUUAAUCAUGUUGGAGCAUCUUGUAAGCGGCGUGAUUUACUUAGAGAGCAACUUCAAGAAGAGCUUGUGAUAGCUUUUGAAAAUGAUUGUCUUAUAACGGGGUGAGGCUUAAAUCAAGAAACAAGUCUCAAACGUGCCGGUGACACACGAUGGAACUCACACUAUAGUACCUUGAUUAGCAUCAUUUCCAUGUUUUCAUCCGUGGUUCAUGUGCUUCAAAUGGUUAUUGAUGAUAAUCCCAAUGAAAGUGCGGGUGACGCAAAUAAGUUAAUGAUAGUUAUACGUACUUUUGAGUUUGUGUUUCACCUUUUCUUGAUGAAAGUCAUAUUGGGACUCACAAAUGAUUUGUCACAAGCAUUGCAAAGGAAAGAUCAAGAAAUUGUGAAUGCAAUGGCUUUAGUGAAAUCAUGCAAGGAAAAGCUACAUUGGAUGAGGAAUAAUGGGUUCGAUGCAUUGGUUGAUGAAGUAUCUUCUUUUUGUGAAAAACAUUAUAUUGAUGUUCCUAACAUGGAAGAGGCAUUUAUACUUCCAGGGAGGUCAAGGCGUAAUGCUCCAAUAAAGAAAAAUCGUCAUCAUUAUCGUGUGGAGCUCUUUAUUUAUGUCAUUGAUGAGCAAAUUACGGAGUUAGAGGAUCGCUUUAAUGAGGUAAAUACCGAGUUGCUUAUUUGUUUGGCAUGUUUGAGUCCGAAAGAUUCAUUUGUAGCUUUUGAUAAACCAAAGUUACUUCGUCUUGCUCAAUUUUAUCCUCAAGACUUUUCAGAUGAGGAUCGUUUGGCACUUGAAGAUCAACUUGAGAUUUAUAUUCAUUAUGUGAGUUCCAGUAGUGAUUUCUCUCAAUUGGAAGGGAUUGGUGAUCUUGCAAAAAAAAUGGUGGAGACAAGGAUGCAUCAAGUAUUCAAUUAUGUAUAUUUGCUCAUUACAUUGUCUUUAGUUUUACCAGUUGCAAUUGCUUCAGUGGAGAGAGCAUUUUCUGACAUGAAUAUUGUUAAGGGUCCACUUAGGAACAAAAUGGGAGAUCAAUGGUUGAGUGAUAGCUUGCUUGUUUAUAUUGAGAGAGAUAUUUUUGCUUGUAUUGAAAAUGAAGCUAUAAUGCUUCGUUUUCAAAAUAUGAAACCUCGUCGUGGACAAUUAUAGCUUGUAAUAUUGUUUCCGUUAUGAAUUAUGAAUGAAAGUAGUAUGAUUUCAUUAUCAACAUGUUUUUCCAUCCUAAAUUUUUUUUGGGACUUUUACACUACGACCCCUUGUGGUAAGAUUCUUGGCUCCGCCACUGAUGUUAAUGUUGUCGGCCAUGCUUGAGGACGUUCCACCGAAAGGUGAUCGGAAUCCCUUCCUCGUUUUGAGAUUGUCACUUUUCUUGCCUUUUGGCACCUCUUGUCCUCUAUAAAUGCAAUUGAUGCUGAGGGUAAACUUAUUUGCUAGGCGUCGAUCCUCCUCAUCAUCCCUGAGGUCAUAUAUGUCGGACUUACCUUGGUCAUUCUUCUUAGUUGGUUCCUCAUUUCAGGCUUUGCAUUUGACGAACUCCCAGUAAUGCUCGUAAUUAGUUUCAAUGUGAUCUCUUAGCAUGCAGCAGGUUCGAGCGGUAUGACCAGUGCAUUAGUGGAAUGAGCAAUACUCAUUCGGCCAUUUCUUAGCCAGAUGGUUAGUGAAGGGUUUUGCUCGAUAAAGGUAAAGCUUGUCUUUGAUGUUUGGAGGAAGAUCUUCCGAGUCCUGUCGUCCCAGUCAGUGAGAUCGUCUAAAACAUUAAAGCACUCUGCCAAAGUGGCUAAUCAUAUCUUUUCUUGUCUAGCUUAGAGUCCCUACUUGAAAGCCAUGGUGGUAAUCCUCUCAUCUGGCUUCUCUACUUCAUCCACCUUUGCACGAAACCACUUUAAGUAAGCUUUAAGACUUUCAUUCUUGAAUUGGGCGGUCAUGCUUAAUAUGACCUCAUGAUGUUUGCGAACGUCACGAUACACUGUAUAGGUGUUAGUGAAGAUGUCGGCCAAGAUUUCAAAACAAUUGAUGGAGCGGGUUGGUAACUACGAGAACUAUCUCUUGGCAGUUCCCUUGAAAAUGGACUAGAUCUUGCACAUCCAAGAAUGAUUGUUGCUGUACAAGGCUAUGACGUUCUGAUAGUGCAUGAUGUGGUAAUCUGGGUUUAAGUCUCCACGGAAAUACUUGAAUCUGGAUUGGGAGAAUUUCUCAGAUGAGGUGUAGACUCAAUAGCUGAAAAAAGAAGACUUUUAACCUUAGUGAUAGUCUUGCAAGGAAUGCGCUCGGCGUCCCUAGGAUUUUCCCGAUACAAUGGUCGGCGUCACUCUUUGGGUUAUCAAAGUUCAAAUGAUCAGGCUCCAUGUGAGGUGCUUAUACAGAGUCCAAGGGACCGGAGUCACGCCGAACUCGGAUCCUGCAUACAGAAGAGUGAUUGGCAAUUUGGCCAUCAUGAGGUUGACUCGUGCUCUGAUCAGCAACUUCGACUGGGGUUGGAGCAGAGGUUGGCAUGAUUGGUUGCUCUUUUGGGUUUAUGUGGUUCUUUGCCCGACAAACAGUGUAGGUUUUCUGCAAUUUAUCAACACAAGUGUAAAGUUUUCUAAAUCUAGUCCAUGGCUAGAGGGGUUCCAGCAGUGGGAGUAUUAUUGUUCCCUGGGCUAGUUAUAGCAUCAGUGACCUAAUUGCUCGCAUCAUGAGUAGUAAAAACGUCAGGAACUGGAUUGUUCACGCUAGGGGUCACAAUGGCGUCGAGAAAUGGGUUAUGUUUUCAUCACCGUGUUAGCGUUAACGCUAGUUAAGCUUUUGUUGAAGCCCAAAAUGUCACAUGUAAGCCCAAUCAAAUCUCAAAGCCCAAUUGUUAUACAAACCUCAAGCUGAGCCCAAAUACAUGUAAAGGUGCGGAAUCGAGAAGGGAUUAUAUUUGUAAUCAUGCCACGGUAAUUUUGUAAUUCUCAAUGUUAUAAUAGUACUUCUACUCAUACGUAUAAUUUUGGCAUCAUAUAAAAUUAUGCAUAAAUGUGCAUCACGUAGAAAAUUUAUUAUUAUUAUUAUUAUGAAAACUAAAUAAGUAUAUACUAUUUAAAAGCAAAGACUCACUCUCAGUUAUUUGUGAGAUUGUAGCUGUUCGAACUAGUAAGUAAGGAUCGAUGAUGCUAAUCAUACCUAAGCAUAAUAUAGAGAACCAUUAGUAAAACUCAAAUAAAAUGUUUGAAUUUGGAAAAAUGGAUGGUAGAUUUGGAAUCAGCGCGUCGAAAUACCCUAAAAAGGGUUUCGAGCUAAUUUCGUAAAAAAUCAACGGAAAAGUUAACGAUUAACCCAAAAGUCAACUGAGCCGCCGAGGCGGUCCACUACAUUAAAACUUCGAAAUUUCACUAAAUGGAUGCCAAAAACAUAUUCGGGGCAUCACAAUUAGCCUAGGAGGAGUCCCGACGAAAUCCAAAAAAUCAACGCUUGGAAUAUUCCAGAGAAUAUUCGGAUCCAUCUGGAAAUGGGUAUGGUCAAUGGGUUGGUUUUCUGGGUAAACAAGUUAGGGUCAGAUUCAGGUCUUGGGUUAUCGGGUCGGGUUGACCAGGUUUGCAACUCGCCGGUUUCUACGAAAGAGAAGGUUAAAAAAAUCCCAAUUCCAAUCGAGGUCAAAACUCAACCAUAUUUAGGUUAUAAAUAGUCCAAUUGGAGCUAUGGGAGAUAAGGAUUCAAAAUAUACCCAUUCAAAGAUCAGUCGUGGCUCGAGUUGGUCGAAAAACAGCUCGAAAGUCGUCGAACCAUUGCCGAAAAACUGGGAAAUAACUUCCCUAGUUGAUUUUCUGCGUCAAACAUCACCUUGAGGCUAGAAAUAACAUGAAACUGUGAUCUAGGACAAUCUACGUCUGUUUAGAGACUUACCUUCACUAGGAACGGCAAUAACAUGCCAGAGAAAAGUUUAAAACAGUGGGUACCACUGUGCAAAGAGAGAAACUUCUGCUGUUCUGAGAUCGUGACUGUGAGAGUCUGGUGGUUGCGAUGCUCACUGGAAACGCUAGGGUGGUGAUGGUGGUCUGUGAUCAGCAGAGAAAGAGUUCUAGUGAGAGAGAACUAUGAGAGAGUUUGAGAGAUGAAGUGUGGGAGAAGAGAGAUCGAGAGAGUUCCGAGAGUUGGGAAAAAAAAGACAUGUGAAAUAUCCGAAAUAGUGAGUUUACUAAAAUGCGCUUCAACUUCGUAAGUCUGUAAAAUCUCCAUCAUAACUCCAAAUUCGAAUUCGCUUGCUCCCACGCGCUCUAAUAUUGAGUAUUACAAGGAUAUACUAACAUAAUGAGUCAUACAUCUCAAGACACGAUAGUCAAUGAAAGUCAACAUUCUCACCUCUAAGAUUCACUCCUUUAGUAAUAAAAAUACCGUAAAAUUAGGGACGGAGCCACCAUUUUAAAUAUUCAAAAAUUAACAUAGACAAAAAUUAAGGGACCUUAAUUAAAAAAAAAUCAAUUAAUAAAAAAAUACUGAUGAAAACUGAAUUUAUCUUAUAAUUUAAUAUAAAUUAUUCAGUCAUUUGUAAAAAUAAAUUUAAGAUAAUUACAAAGCCAUGUGUAAAAACGCGAUUGUGCAAUGCUUUUCCCAAGUUUCAAUUUUGAACUGAUACAAGAGGUCUUUCUCGAUCAACAACUUCAAUAGCAUGUUUAUGUACUCGUAAUCGGAAUCAAAAUAAGGAGUUGAAUUAUGAUUAUGGAGUAUUGAAGUGUUUACUAAUUCUGGAGGAUUCAAAAGAGUAAAUUGACACGCUUGACCUUGAUAUUCACCGAACACCAGGGUAGACAUGUGCUGGCCAACACCCGAAGGCGACGAAGUUGUAUUAGGAUGCAUGAGAAAUAAUAAAUAUAGAUAAUAUUUAUAAAUUUAAAUACAAUGAUUAUGCAAUUAUGGAAUGUGUUUUGGAGCAUACAACUAAUCCUAGACACUAAAAAGGAAUAAUAUAAAAUUGAAUGAACAAAGAGAUGGGUUCUACACCGAGAGGAAUUGAAGAUGCCGAUGCGGGAGUACCUUGAUGCUGGGAUUGUACACCUCAAUUCUAAGUCCUGAUGGGGCGCAAAAAAAACAUGAGUGGACCAAAUUGAUAUAUAGUAAUAAAACAGUUAAUCUUUAACGUACUAACCCUCAAGUUUAUGAAAACUCAUAUUGCAUAAUAAGUAGUAGGUUUUCCGAAAACCCUAGCAUGCCAUAAAACCUUUCAUAAAACAUAUAUCAUAUAUAGUGUGUUUAGUAGUGGUAUACAUAUAUAUAAUAUUUCAUUCGCCCAAAGUCAUAUAGAACACUUAUUCAUUCAUCCGAAGGUUCUACAUCACAUGUACAUAGGCAGAUCAUUCGCCCGUAGGCAUUGCAUCUCCCGGUCGAAGCCAAUAUAAGUAUCUUUCAACUCGUAGGCCCCCUGCAUCACCCGACCGAAGCCAAUAUAUAGAUAUCAUUUGACUUGUAGGCCCCUACAUCACCCGACUGAAGCCAUUAUAAGUAUCUUUCGAUUGAAGCCAUCUACAAAUGCCCCGUCGAAGCCAAUAUAAAUAUCUUCCGCCCGUAGGCACCAACCAAACGCCAGGCUGAAGCCAAUAUAUAGAUAUCAUUCGCAUAACCACUACGUAAGUACAUAAGAACAUUAACAUAAUAUUUCUAAUAUAUAUAUAUAUAUAACUAUCUUAAUCGGAGUUCAGUAGCUAAAAGUCAUAUCGUAAAACCUAUUCGUAGUAUAUAGUCAUCAAUCAUAUAUACUACGAAGAACGUAAAAUCGAUAAAGCAUGAAUAUCAUAAAGAGUAAAUCCAAUUUACUCAUAAACGUUUCAAAAAACAUAAACAUUAAAUCAUGCUUUUCAUGUAUGCAUUUCUAAUAGUAAAAUAUGCAUUUUAGAAAGGGUCCACUCACUUUACACCAUUGGCGAAGAGUUGUGCAAACAAGAGAGGACGAAAAUGCCAUAAACAAUUGCACUUGGGGUUAGAGAAAUGGAAGCUUGAAGCUCUUGGCUUCAAUGGUGGAUCACUCAGAUGGUGCUCUGAUGAUGCAAGCGAGGAUGUAGUCAUGUUCCCUAUGUCCUAAAGGUUCGAAAUGAGGAUUUAUGGGACUAGCUUGGUCGGAAUUGAGAGGAAUGAUGGUGGUUCCUUCUUGGAGAUAAAGGGAGAGAGAGUGCGGAGUGAUGGAGUGAGAGGACUGAGAGAAAGUCAUGGGAAGGGGGAGAGGAAAAUAGAGAGUGGGUUGGGGGACCAAAAAGAAACAUGGGCCCCCUAUGGCACACCAAACAAGGUCCAAAAGCAACCAUUUAAAAUAUCUCCCAACCAAAGUGGAAUUACAAAAUUGCCCUUGACGUUCCGUAAAAUCCCGGACGAAUCAUUAUAGGUGGGGCCCACAAGAAAUAAGGAAUUCAACUCCCCAAAUUGAAGGAAUUGGACUCCUUAGAUGGGUGAGGUAUUUGGAUUCCGGGAGAGUGAAGGAAUCAGGAAUGUAUUUUUUUCUACCAAUUAUGACCCUUUCAUUAUUUCUAAAAUUUCAAGUCUGCCACUCAACCCAACAAACCCACCGUUCCCAGCGCACCCUUCUUUAUGCGUAUGUGCCUCACUUUCUAGUUUCCACCUCCCCGUGCGACCGUGCUUCACUUCCUAACCCACCAGCUUAAGAACCCUAGCCACGUCUCCCCCAAAUCGGAUUCAAAAAUCAACCACCCAAACCCAUAAAAUAAACAAUUCAAGGCCAAAUCCAAACCCACAAAUCCAUGGAAGCAAUCACUCAGAAAUCAUGAAAUACUUCGCAGGUAAAAGAGGUGGUGGUGGUUAUGGGGUAGGGUGCGUGGGGAAGAUGGAGGUAAGGACUAGGAGAGAAAAAGUAUGCAGACUUGCAGAGAGGGGAGAAGUGUUCUAUUCAACUGGGUUUGUUAUUAAAGUGCUUAAUAUUUUAAUAUUGGUAAUACAAUAAAUUUGUAUGCAAAUUUAAUUUUUUGGAAUAAGGGCAUAAUUAAAACUAAUUAAAAUGUUAUUAAAAAUAAAAUACGGAUAAAAUAAAAGGAAAACUAAUGAAAAUGACUUGAAAACUUUAAGUUUUAACGAUAAAGACAAAAUAAAGGGUAAAGUGAAUAGUACCAGGAUUGACUUUUUAGUGCAAAAAUGUGGUCUUUUGUUAAAGUGAAUAGUACCGGAAGAUUUUCGUUAAAGUUCCCUAAAAUAAAACCAGUGUUAUAAAAAUCGGCCUAGGCGCUAGGUGGUGAAGGCCCACCGCGAUUUAGGGCAAAUUGUUUCCAAAAAAAUCGGUCUGCAGCUAGGCGGUUUAGUUUUUUUUUAUUUUUUAUUAAUUGUGUGAUUUUUUAUUUCUUAGUUUCACGGUGGUAUACUUAUGGAAAUGUUGUACCUAAUUUGCAAAUGAUAGAUUGACUACAAGUUCAUCCAAUUGUGAAAUGAAUUGGAGCACUUUUGAGAGGUUACAUACAAAGAAAAGAAAUAAACUAGAUACAACAAGGUUAAAUAAUUUAGUCUAUAUCUAAUCCAAUGCAAGGAUCAUGAACUAGAACAAUUUAGUCUAUCAUCCAAGAAUACUCCUCAUUAUGAUUAUAUGCUUACUGCUUUUAAAAUAUUGAACUUGUUGGAUGGAUGUACUUUGUGUAUUCUUCUACUUCUAUUUUUGUAUUUUAUCAUUCUUUUAUUAUUCAUACAAGUAUAUUUUUUAAGUGUAAAUAGGCACUUAUUUACAAGAUAUAGAAUAAAUUUAUAUAAAUCCACUUAGGCGCUAGGCCCUUGCCCGCCGCCUUAUUAUGAUCCCACAUUGGCUACACCAGAAAUGGUGUAGUUGUACUUAAGUCCUUGGAGUCAUCCCACCUAUUGGAAUAGUCUUUUGGGUUUGGCUCCUCCCUAGGGCUUGAGUACCUAACAUUGGUAUCAGAGACAGGUUCCCGACGCUGUGGAGGAGGCGACAUGGAAAGGGCUACCUUAAUAGGACGACCAAAGGGUGUGCCGCCGUUAAGAGUGAAAGCCACCAGAGUAAGGGCCGUCGUGGGCGUCGGGUCUUCUGAAGGGUGGUGUGAUGUUAUGAUCCCGCAUCGGCUACACUAGAAAUGGUGUAGUGGUACUUAAGUCCUUGGAGUCCUCCCACCUAUAGACUAGUCUUUUGGGUUUGGCUUUUCCCUUGGGCUUGAGUACUUAACAUUGGUAUUAGAGCCAGGUUCCAGACGCUGCGGAAUGGGCGACCUGGAAAGGGCUACCUUAACGGGACGACCAAAGGGUGCGCCGCCAUUAAGAGUGAAAGCCAUCAGAGUAAUGGCAGCCAUAGAUGUCGGGUCUUCUGAAGGAUAGUGUGAUGUUAUAAUCCCACAUCAGCUACACCAGAAAUGGUGUAGUGGUACUUAAGUCUUGGAGUUCUCCCACUUAUUGGACUAGUCUUUUAGGUUGAGCUCUUCCCUUGGGCUUGAGUACCUAACAUUGGUAUCAGAACCAGGUUCUCGACGCUGCGGAAGGGGCGACCUAAAAAGGGCUACCUUAACAGGAUGACCAAAUGGUGCACCACCAUUAAGAGUGAACGCCACCAAAGUAAGGGCCGCCGUAGGCGUCGGGUUUUCCAAAGGGUGGUGUAAUGUUAUGAUCCUACAUCGGCUACACCAGAACUAGUGUAGUGGUACUUAAGUCCUUGGAGUCCUCCCACCUAUUGGACUUGUUGAUGCACAAAACCGAAAAGGUCUUGGAACAACGUAAAUUCGACCGUGAAUCUGCAAGAAAGUAAAUAACAUAAGAUGUAUUGUGGUUCACCCCAAUGUUUAGGCUAUGUCCACACUGAUAUUGUAUUUCUCUGAGAGGAUUGUGAAGGAGAGAGCCUCUGUAUGUGAGGAUGAGCCUCUCUGAAUGUGAGAGUGAGGCUCUGGGAUCUCAGGCCUAAGAGGCAUCACUUAAUGAGAAGAGUGAGGGGUCCUUUUAUAGAAUAAGGGCUCAUCACUUAUUACAUAUUUGCCCAUUCAUUUAUUACAUAAUUACAUUUGAGUCCCCCGAGUAUUUAUACGAGAUCUAAAUACGAAGGCCCUAAGUAUGGUAUAAACAAACCUGUUUUCCAAUACGCCACUUACCGAACUCUCAGGAUCGACCAUAGUCAAGUCCAUGUCAGAGUCUAGCGAAGAAGAAAAUGACGGGCCGAUAUUUUUACGUAGCAAUUGUAAGACACGCGUUGUAUUAACCGAGCCCAAGAAGAAACUGCCUCAGAUGCAGAUGCCGACGUCACGACACCAAUCGGCGAUUACGGUGGAACUUUCAAAGGAACUUUGUGAAGGCUAACGCACGAAAGUAUUCGACACGCUCGGCCCAAGGAAACAGACAGAUGGUCCUACAUCGGUCAGACGGUGCCUUAAUUUCGACGCACCGUUUUAUAACGAGGAUUAUUAUUCACGUAAUUCCAGUACUUCGAGCUUAUCAGCAAAUCAAAAAACCUUACGACCGCUUGAACCACGUGACCAACGUUGGUACAGUUACAAUUCUUCCAUUGGCAUGUAUACCGCGCUUUCCAAAUCUUAGAAACGUCGACGUCAGCGUAUAGAUUGCUUGGCUCGAUGGUAAGCAGCCCAGCCUGUUUCGACCACUAAAUGGUAGCCAAAAGAGACGGCAGGAAGCGGAGAUGAUCGGCCAACCCCAAUAGUCAUGGGCAGAAGGAAACCAAUCGCGACUUUGAAACUACUAUCGAAGAGUCUAAGAAGCACAUCAAACUCCUUUUUCAGCCCGGGGAGAUGAAAGCUCAUUUCGAGCAAUUUAAGAAAGAGGCCGAAAGCCAAUUGCCCCUAUUACCUUUGAAAGAACCACUAAUCAGAGUUCGGCGGAAUCUGCACUCCCCAUUCACAAGAAAUAUUCCACCAACGAUUUGUAUGGUUUGCCCAAGGCAUGCCAAGAAACUCUUGACCUGGCAUUAACUUGCCUCGAUCAUGAGCAAAUCAUCCAAAAAACCAUUGAUCCAGCAAUGAAAGCCAGAUUCCAGCACAUUUGAGAGGCUAGGGUUCUCGGCUUGGAGGUCGACCCAUACACGGACAUUGACACAGCCGAACUCAUUUUUUCUCUUGAAAACCUUUAACACCUUCGAUAUCACUUCAAAGUUUUUUCGACUGUAUCCUUGUUUGGUUUAACGGUCGAUGAAAAAGAUCGGGUGGCACGUCUGGACGCCUACCUGGAUACAAGGAAUGCUCGAAUCGCCUAUAAGGAACGAGCUCGUAAAAUGCAUCAGGAGCAGAGUCCGACACCAGAUGCAUGCAAGCCUGACGACGAUAGUCAAAAGGACACAGAGUUGGAUUAUGUGGCACAAGCAUACGAAUAUGUUGAGACACACAGCGAUCAGGCCGAUAAUGCUCCAACACACGAUGCUAUAGUCCUUACCAACCCGGAAGAUGACGACUAAGAUCCAAUGGGCCCUUCAGUCAUUGAAAAUAUGGAAAUCAGCAUGGUCCAUGUUCUACCUACCGAAUUUUAUCUGACUACACACCAACCAAGUUCCUUGGACGGUGAUGUGGUCGUCGAGGAAGCAACACAAGUUGAUUUCGUCACUACUACUGAAGAUGAGUCAACAAAUGGCGACGAUAAACUUAAAACAGCCUUGGACAUCUUGUUUCCACAUUCUUCUUCGACUAAUCUUCAGCAUUUAAAACCAUUGUAUGUCACGACCCAUAUUGAAGGCUACCCAAUCUCCAAAAUUUUCAUCGAUUGCAGAGCAACGGUUAAUAUCAUGCCUGUAUCCGUCAUGAAAACAUUACGACGAUCCAAAGAUGAAAUCAUUCCUUUAGGAAUAACCAUGAGUAGCUUUGUUGGUGACAAGUCUCAGACCAAAGAAGUACUUCCUCUAUAGGUCAACAUUGCAGGUCGCAAUCACAUGACCGUAUUUUUUUUUUUCGACUCCAAGACCGAAUAUAAUGCUCUGCUUGGUAGGGAUUGGAUUCAUCAAACGAAUUGCAUUCCUUCUUCUUUAUAUCAAGUUCUCAUUUUUCGGGAUGGUAAAUCAGUCGUGGUCUACUUGGUCGAUACUCAGCUGUUUGAAACCAACAUGAUUCAGGCCCGCUAUUAUGAUGAUCACGUCGGCUAUAUUACCCUACAGGGUUUUAAUGAAGAUCGACGGCCGACUCGGAUCUCAGUCCAGAAAGCCAUCAAGGUAGACGCCGAAACUGUCCACCAGGAUUCGACGAGACUCGGUUUGGCUAAUUUACUCUCCACCACUGAUGAUUGACAUAAAAAGCGAGAGGCGUCGGGCCGCAGUUUCAUCCACGAUGGAACGCCUGCUGGCCCAUUGGUAUGCUAUUUCCAAGCUCCCACAUUCGGGCUUCAACUUAAUCGAAAUUUUGGCCGAAGAGGAUAAUGGCCCGGUACUAUCGUUAGAUAAAGUUUAGGCUGCACCGGCUGAGCUUGACGACAACCGACCCCAAGUUAAGGAUCCUCUAGAGGAAAUAAAUGUUGGAACGACUGACGAUCCUCGGUCGUUAUUUAUUAGUGCAUUAUUACCCCAUGCCAUGAAAGUUGAACUCCAUCAAUUACUUCAUGAGUUUAAAGAUUGUUUUGCUUGGAGUUAUCAUGAGAUGCCGGGUCUCGAUCGAACCCUUGUUGAACAUGAAUUACGUAUCAAACCUGGUUGCAAGCUUUUUUGACAACCUCCUCAACAAUUCUCGACCAAAAUAUAGCUCGGCAUAAAAGAUGAAAUUGUUCGACUGUUAAAUGUCGGGUUUAUCCAAACUGCUCGAUACGUCGAAUGGUUGGUGAAUAUUGUGCCAGUGCUAAAGAAAAAUGGGGCCCUACGCAUUUGCAUUGAUUUUCGAAAUUUGAAUCUGGCAACACCCAAGGAUGCAUAUCCCAUGCCAAUUUCAGAUUUGCUAAUCAACGCCGCGACUAAUCACGACAUGCUGUCAUUCAUGGAUGGACAUGCCAGUUAUAACCAGAUAUUUAUUGCCAAGGUCGAUGUUCAUAAAACUGCUUUCUGCUGCCCGGGGGCACUCGGAACCUACACGUGGGUAGUCAUGCCAUUCGGUCUCAAAAACGCUGGUGCCACAUAUCAACGCGUGAUGAACAUCAUUUUUCAUGACCUAACCGGCACAACCAUAGAAUUGUAUAUUGAUGACAUCGUGUUCAAAUCGAAAAGUCACCGAACGCAUAUUGAUGAUCUUUGGCAAGCUUUCCUUCGCAUGCGUCGACAUAACCUUAAGAUGAACCCGACCAAAUGCGCAUUUGGUGUGACGACCGGUAAUUUCUUAGGUUUUCUUAUCCACCAUCGCGGCUUCGAGGUAGACGUGAAUAAAGCUCGUGCGAUUAUUGACGCCCCACCCCCGACGACCAAAAAACAACUCCAGUCUUUACUCGGGAAAAUAAAUUUUCUUCGCCGCUUCAUAGCUAAUUCCGCUGGAAAAAUGAUGGCAUUCUCUACACUUUUGAAACUUAAGGACUCAGAUAAGUUUGAGUGGCGUGAAGAACAUCGAGCGGCUUUCAAGCAAGUCAAGGUUACUUUUGCAACUCCACUCGCCCUUGUACCGCCUCGACGUGAUAAACCCUUUAAGCUUUAUAUUUCAGUGGUCGAAGAAUCCAUCGAUUGCCUCCUUGCACAAGAUACUGAGUCUGGGCGAGAACAAGCUAUCUUCUAUCUCAGCCGACACCUCAAUAUGCUAGAAAUCAAUUAUUCACCCGUCGAGAAGCUUUGCUUGGCUUUGUUCUUCACCGCAUCAAAACUCCGACACUAUAUGCUCCCAUCCGUUACUCAGGUCAUUGCUUAGACAGAUGUCAUUCAAUAUAUGCUUACUCGGCCAAUAGUCAAAUGCUGAAUCGGGAAAUGGACACUGGCACUAUCUGAGUUUAGUUUGCAGUACGUCCCACCAAAAGUCGUUAAAGGAUAAACGCUUGCUGAUUUCUUAGCCCACCACCCCUCUCCAUAUGGGUUCGGGGGUAACGACGUUGAAAUCAGAAUGGUGGGCACACGUGACAAUUAUUGGACGAUGUAUUUCGAUGGUUCUAGUACGUCGACAUCGGCCGGCGUGGGGAUCUUACUUUAGUCUCCACACCAACACCGUUGGUUCUUUUCCCUCAAGUUGGAUUUUGAUUAUACCAACAAUCAGGCCGAAUACGAAACCCUUGUUAUCGGCCUUAGUGAUUCAGAUUGUAUUGAGUAUGCACGAGGAUGCUUCCAGUGUCAAAUUCAUGGACUCAUCCAAAGAGCCACAUCGAAUUACUUCAUUCGGUCACCAAACCUUGUUCGUUCAAAGGAUGGGUAAUGGACGUGAUCGGCAAAAUUACGCCAUCUUCUGGAGCAGGGAAACAUGCAUGGAUACUUAUGGCAACUGAUUAUUUCACUAAAUGGGUCGAAGCAAAAUCAUAUGCCGAAUUAACAUCCAAGAAGGUUUGCGAUUUUGUGGAGGAGCAUAUUGUGACCAGAUUUGACGUACCAAGAACGAUCAUAACUGAUAAUGGCACAAUCUUCACAGCCAAAAGGUUGAAAAAGUAUACGGCGAGCUUAAAAAUUCAGCUUAAACAAUCCACACCAUACUAUCCACAAGCAAAUGGACAAGCCGAAGCAAGUAAUAAGGUCUUGAUCGGCAUUCUAAAAAAAAUGAUAAAAGAAAGACCUGGCAUGUGGCAUUUAAAAUUGAAUGAAGCCUUGUGGGUAUACCAGACUUCACCCGGUCUGCAACGGGGACCAUCCCAUAUGCAUUAACCUAUGGACAUGAUGUGAUGUUACCAGUCGAGCUAAGUGUAAAUUCUUUACGCGUGAUCGAGCAGAGUGGUUUAUCCAAUGCCGAAUACAACUAGGCCAUGUUACGAGAAUUAGAAGAUUUAGAAGAAGAUCGGCUGGACGCUUACAAUCUUCUAGUGGCACAAAAGAAAAUUGUCAAGUGAGCUUAUAAUCAAAGAGUCAAACAAAAAACGUUCGGCGAGGGGGAGUUAGUUUGGCAAACUAUGCUACCCGUAGGAAUUAAAGACCCCAGGUUCGGCAAAUGGUCACCGAAUUAGGAAUGACCGUUCGUUGUCCAUAAGGUCCUUGGCAAUGGGGCAUAUCAUCUUAGAGAUUGAACCGGUAUUAUUCACAAGUUGCCAAUCAAUGGAAAGUUCUUAAAAAAAUACUACCCAGUCACAUGGGAGAUGCAAGAAUAAAAGCUUGUUUCAUUUCAUUGAUAAGUCGGUUUACAGUCAAAUAAUUCUAGGGUGAUGAAGGAAGAAGAUUUCCAAGAAGGGCCUUCAGCUCCAACCACCUCACCUCGCCCAUUAUGACCUCGGCUUGCCGGUUUUUCUUGUCUAUCUUCAACUGCUCGACUCUAUUCGUGUUCGCCUCAUAUUCGGUUAAACAAGAUUUGCCGCCCAACUCAAAGUCCCUCGCAAGAUCAGAAGCAAUGGCCGACCUUCGUUUUGCCAGUUCGGCCAUUUGACGGUCGAGGUUGGCCAGGGCCUUAUUUUUCACCUUUAAAAUGUCAAUCUUCAGACGAAGAGCGUCUUGAACGGCUAUUGCAGCUUUCAAGUCAUCAUUGGCCUGAAGAGCGUUCUCGAAAGUACUGAAGGAUUCCUAAACUCGCUCCAAGGUGGAUGACGCCUGAACGAUAGCUUUGGCGCUCAAUUGACCAUCACUUCCGAGGUCGUUUAGGCAUGCAACCAAUAAAUCAAGACCUUUACGCUUGAGGACUUGUGAAGCUGAUAGAGACAAAACUUCUUGCAACUGAACAAGAACAGUUGAUUCAGCAGGUUCAGUCAUAGCUGCCGAAUGACCAGCCGCUCUAGAAGUGCUUGAAAGAAGAGCAUCGAACUCGACUUCCCAUGAAGGCUGCACAUGAAAACAAUUUAAGCGCAAGGAAAAUCACAAAAUAAUAUAGCAAGAAAGUUUUUGUUUUAAACUUGCCGAGAGGAGACUUCAGCCAUGUCUUCGGGUUCAUUGCUCGAACCUAAAGAACUUAAUGGCCGAGCCCAAUGUUUCAGACUGCUUCUUAAUUCACGCUGCCGAUGAAGGUUAUCUACGUUCGAUGGCCACUGAGGUGGCCAGGAAAUAUAGAUAACACCUUUCGGCGCAUAAAAGUUUUGGUGAAAUGAAUAACUGGGCACCUGACAUUUAAUAUUUUCUCGGUUCAGACAUGUUAUAACAAAUUGACAAUAGAAAGUAAUCGAGCCUUACAAAAGUCGAGGUCACUUCUUGAGGAGGGAUGCCGAGGUUUUGGUCCUGAAGGUGAGUGGAGUUUCUGACGUCGCUUUAGGCUCGACCAUAGGCCUCUUUCCGCGAUCGACCGCCAGAUGAUCAACCUGAUUGGCCACCUCAACCAUGGGGGGAGGAUCUACGGAAGGAGCUUGGAUUGGUUGGGAGCGACUCGCCAGUGGAGUUUCGUCACUCCCAUCAUCCUAAAACAAAAGUGUUAAUAAUUGUUUGAUACUUAAUAAGCAAAGGGAUUUGACAGCGUAAUCAUACCUCUUAUAAGAUAACCACCGAAUGCUUCGGAUUCUUAGAGAGAUCAUUUCCAAUCGAAUGAGUCGUGCCCCCCAGAACGGGUACUUCUGUUAACCCUAGAGCUACAAGCAAGUCAAUCGAAGGUGCAGUAACCGGCUCAACCACCACCCCGGGGACCUCAAGUGUUGGUUGAGCUUGGGUUGCUGGGCCGGCCGGAGAAGGUCGAUUAUCUGCCGAAGUCUGAGCAACGGGAGCGGGAGGAGAGGCACUCGGGGUGGUCGUCCCAGUGGUGUGGCUGGAGAUAACAUGAAUCUCCCGAGUUCCCUUAUUCACCAAUUUCUUAACGCGUUUUGGGGGACGAGGAGUUUUACAUGUCGUCUUGGAGACCGGGUGAAGUCAUUUGCUCGGUAGGUUUUAUGCAGUGUUUUUGGUCGUCUUGGAAGAAGAGGCCAAUUUUUUCUUGACCACUAUCGGGCCGACCACAUCCGCCUGUUUUAGUACCCGACCACCUAAGAAAGUGAAGUCCCGUAAGUAGAAUUACUCAAAUGUCUAAAAGAAAAAAUAUAGGUGGAGACGGGGGUAUACCUUGGGUCGCCUCUUUAGAUUGAGGGGUGGAGGGUUUCUUGGGCCAGUCACCAAAAAUUUUGUUGACUACUUCCUCGAUCGAAGUGCCAAAAAAGUCAUGCAUGUAUUCUUCCCACCAGUCGCUGAAGAUAUCAGUGCCGAGAGAUUCAGUAGAAUUUGGUCGAAGAUAAAAUUUCCUACAUCAUUCUUAAAACUCUUUCUCGGCGUCUCUACACUCCCAUUCUGAAGAACCAGAGACGCGCCCUCGAGUCAGAAAUGAGCGAGAAGAAAGUAAAGGCAAUGGGUAACCUUGGAGGUAACCGAGCUGCCGAGCGGCGAAGUGGGGGUGAUAAACUUCCCAACUCGCCUGAUGAGCAUCACAACCAAGGGGAAGGUCAUGAGUUAAUAUGAACGACCCUCAGUUUUGACAAAAAAUGGCAUCCUCAUUGUCACUCCAAGUCGAUGUGGGAAACCUGGUGAAGCAAGGAUAUUCUUGACGACGACAUAUCAAAAAUUCAUCAUCAGAAAGGACAUCCAGGCCGAAGAGGUAUUUGAAGACUUCUUCGGCUCGAUGAGGGAGCACUGGUUGGGAGGCCAAUUAAGGUUUGGAGGUCGAAGACUUCUGGCUGAAGCGUAGAGAAAUAAACUUGCAGCUAGAGUUGGAACACCCAGAGGGGUCCAUUCUGGUGCGGGUCGAUCUUGUUAAGGGUUGUCUUGGCCAAGCAACGAAGAAGGUUGGCGAGGAUGGCGAGGCUGAGCGCCAGAGAAUGGCCACUAGCCAGGCUUCUGCUACCGGCAUGUUCUCGACCAAGCAUUUAUUUGACUUGGUACAACAAAUGAAUUUGUUAUACCAGUAGAACAGGAAGGCCUUGUGUUCCCCAUUCCGAAUACUCGCCUCUUAUCGACCAGCAAAAUUAAGGAUAAGGGUGUUGUAGUUCAUAAAAUUCUUGUGCAAUUUCUGAACAUUAACUUUUGAAGGCUCUUGACCUUCCAGGCUCAACGUCUCGCUAGCUCGAUCGUCAAACAACGCCUUGAGGUCAAGGUUAGAGGGGCAUUCAAUAAGGGUAGCGUCGACUGGGAUGCCGGAAGGAGAAGUCCCAAUGAUAGUCGAGAUGUCGAUGAUGGUAUGAGUCAUAGGACCAAAUGGAAGGACCAAGGUGUUGGUGGCCGAGCACCAGAGGCUAAGAGCUGCCAUAAAGAGCUCUUUAUCCAUUGUAAUCUCCAUAGUCGAGAACUUGAUAGCAUCGUAAAUACCAAGCAUUUUCUAUUCUUUGCCGAAGAACAUUUCCAUUCGAACGACCCAUGCCACCCAAUUUGCAUUAGGUGAAGGCCAAGAUCCUUGGGGUUUUGUUUGGCACCACUUCGACUAAUUGAAUCCUUACAGCAAACCUGCUAAACAAUAUUUUUUAAAUAGAUUGGUGAUAGAUGACGGCACCGUAUCCUUGAAAAGUGGGCCCAUAACUUGGUGAGUAGUGUUUGAUUCGCCCUCAAAAUGCAGAGUCUUGAUAGCAUGUUGAUCAAUGAAAUCCUUGCACUUGUUGCACUCAGAAUAAAGUUGUGAGACAAAGGAGGCCAUUGAGAAAAGAUUAGAAAUUUCUGAGAGGAAAGUGUCAGAAUCCUUGGUUUUUGAAGGUUUUAAAAGAAAACAGAACGUUAAGAAAAUUUCAAAGGUUUAAGAGAGCGUAAGGUAAUAGUGGAAGAGAUCCAGGUAUUUAUAAGCAUUUGGGAACGGAAGGCUAAACGGUUGGUUUUCAAAAUCAAGCGGAAGAUAUACUAAUCAUUGUACAUGAUCAGAAAAUCAAGGCGAGAUGAUCAAGGUUUUCGUGGAUUGAGGAUGUACGAUGGCGUGUUACGGUGGUUUUAAUGCAAGAAAGACGUUUCGUCGGUCGCAUGGUUUUGAGGAUCAUGAUUAAAGGCUAUUAGGGUAACAAGGGGGUUGACACGCAGCAUAACGAUUUGGAAAUCGAGAUUGUGGGAUCACGUCUCAUAAGUGCACGUGGUGGUAGUUCCCGAGAGUCGGUUUCACUUCUUCAAGGUCGAGGCUCUAACUAAGGAGUAUAGGUCGACGACCUCAGAAGCGAAGGGGCAAUGUUUGGGCCUGAAAAAUAUUAUUUUGGGCCGAGUUAGAUCUUUUUCGGCCCAGUGUAGGAUAGGCCGAGUUUAGAUUCAUCAUUGGCUUAGAAGUUGUAAACAUGUGUCAUUAGAAGAUAUUCAGCCCAUGGGCCGCGCGGUUGAAGUGGGCCAUAUCUUAUCAGAAAUUGGAAUGUGGACGAAUCCUGUUAUGAGAGAGAGUAUCGACGGGAUCAGGAUGCUGAGAUUGAAUACGGUUUGAUAAUGAGUUAUGUGCAAAGUCCUAGUAGGAAUAUGAUUGGUCGAGAUAAAGUUGGAUCAUGAGAAGAAGUUCAAAUCCGGGAGCGAAUGGGAUUUAAUACAGGUUGGCUGCUAUAAAUAGGGAGGGAAGACAUCGAAACAAGCACCUCCAAUUCAACACACAAAACUGCCAUGCGCAAACUUUCUCAACAACUUUGAGAUUUUUUUAUUUUCUUUUUCGCCGAAACAUCUUCAAUUGGCAUAAACAGCACUGUAGAGGCAACCGGUGAUAUCUUCAGUUGGGAUAAACAGCACUGUCACCGUAGAAUCAGCCGAUCUCGCAGCAUUUUCAAUUGGCAUAAACAUCACUGGGUCGAGGCCGACUGGUUACCUAUCCAAGUCUCGGUCGAGAAGGAUUUCCGAAUCCUUGUUGGUCGAGGUCAUCUCAUCAGCCUUCUCAACGAAGUGAGGUGUUACAAGUUACUACAUUCGGCACAUUGGAAGUCAAAUUUGAUAUUGAACUUCGCUAAGUUAGCAACCUUGUCUUCAGGCUCUAGAACCCGAAGGCCGAGACAAGUUCCUUUUUUGGCCACAGUCGUAAGAUUAAGAAGUCAGCAGCGCACCCAACGUGACAUCAACAUAUUUUACUCCUCGACCGAGCUUGGCCGUCGAGUUGGCAUGCCCCGCACACAACCAAAGAACAUAGUUAGCUCAUAGAUUACUCGGCCUGCGUGCCACGUAGGCUUGGUAGUUUUUAGGGUCAACACUAGUAAAGCAUGAAAUAUCAAUAAGCGUAAAUCCAAUUUACUCAUAAACGUUUCAUAAAACGUAACCAUUAAAUCAUGAUUUUCAUGUAUACAUUUUUAAUAGUAAAAUCAUGCAUUUUGGAAGGGGUCCACUCACAGAUACUUCGUCGUCGAAGAGCCGUGCAAACUAGGGAAGACGAAAACACCACAAACAAUUGCACCUAAGCACAUAAAUGGACCAAUUAAUAAAACUAUACUAAAAUGAUUGAAUUUGGGAAAACAGACAUCCGAUUUGGAAUCAGAGCAUCAAAUUACCCUAAGAAGAGUCCCGGGUAAAUUUCGUAAAUGUCAACAAAAGUCAACACAGAAUAUUCCUUGAUAGAAUUUAUUCCCUAACAAAAUAUUCCUUCCGGGUUGGGUCAAAUCUGGUUUGAAUCUGAGUCGGGUCGAAACUAGGUUUGGGCUUGGCUAAAAAGUUAGGCCUGGUUUCUGGGUUUGGGUCAGAGUUUUGGGUUGGACAGGGUUACUAGGACUAGGCUGGGUUAGUUGGGCCUGGGUUAAGUAGUAGGGUUUUAGGCUAGGGUUCAGAAUGAGUUUGGAUUUACGAGUUUGGUCAACCCAUUUCAGGCCGGGUUGGCCUGUUUUGACAAAGAAGAAAGCUGGAGCUUUCCCAGCUUUGUUCAACCCCAAAACUUAACCAAAACAAGUCAUACAAUAUACCAAAUUGAAGCCUAAAGAAUAAGGAUUUGAAUCAUACCAUUAGUUUCCUUAGUUAUGGCCGAAGUUAGCCGAAAAACGGCUUGGAAGUCACGGCAUUCUUGCCGAAAUCUGGGGAAUUCUCCCUGAGGUGUUUCUUCAUAGUUUUGACGACCAAAACAUGUACAAAAUAGUUAGUCUUUAACCAGAGACGAGGGAAGGACGACCAAAAGGGUUAAAACUUUACCUUUGUGUCGGGGAGUCGAGGAACUCGUCAGAAAUAGCGGCUCUGCAGCCGUGGUGAUGUUGCAGGGUUGAGAGGGAAGUUUAAGGGGAGUAAGGAUAUGGCGGUUAAUGGUUGAAACUCUUGAAACACGAUGGUGGGUACGGUGUUAUCCUCUGCAUUUGUAAAGAGAGUUGAGGGAGAGAAGUGAGAGAGAGAACCUUACAGCGAUAGAAGAGAGAAGAGAUGGAAAAUGGGUCAGGGGACAUACUAAAAAGAAUGGGCCCCAUAAGGUACACAAUUUAAGACCCAAAAAACAACAUUUCAAAAUAUCUAACUCAACCAUAGUGAAAAUUCAAAAUUGCCCUUCCAUUCCGUAAGAAUUCAGGACAGGUGACACGCCCCGAUCCCGAUGUCCGGAGGACAGCAGAAUGACCACAUGUUGGCUGACACCCGAGGGUGACACAAGCCAUUUAAUGAAUGCAUAUGCCGACAGCAUAUGAAACAUGCAUAUAAAUUUUGCUCGAACUACAUACUAAUAAUAUUCAGCCGUCAAUAAAAUGAUAGUGGUAAUGCAUGACAUGUUCAAAGCAUACAUUUAAUUCAGAAUACAAAUGGAAGGUGUAACAGAAAUUGCUAUUACAAGUGAUAUCAAAAGCAGAGAGGAUGACGCGAUAUCACUGGUAAAGGAAUGCCUCGUAGCUCGGAUCGUAUGCCUCGUGUAUAUGUCCUGAGAGGGAGCAAAACAAAUAUGAGUGGACCAAGUUGAUAUAUAUAUAUAUAUAAUACCGAAACAGUUAUUCAACAACGUACUAACCCCCAAAGUUUUAUGAAAACUCAAUAGUAUAAUAUGUAAUAGGUUUUUCCGAAAACCCUAGCAUGCCAUAAAACCUUCGUAAAACAUAUCAUAUAUAAUGUGCUAAAUAGUGGUAUCAUUAUCGCCCGAAGGCAUAUAGAACUCUUCAUUCGCCCGUAGGCUCCUACAACACCCACCAAAAGGCAUAUAGUAUCAAUCACCCGAAGCUCCUACAGCACCCACCCAAAGGCAUAUAUGUAGUGACCACUAGAUAAGCACAAAAAUCAUUGAAUAUAAUCUUUCUAACAUAAGUACAUAUAUCUCAACAGAGCUCAGUAGCUCAAACAUUAUAUCUUAAAACAUCUUCAUAGUAUAUAGUCAUCCAUCAUAUAUACAAGAAAGAACGUAAAAAUCGAUAAAGUAUGGUAUUCCAAAGUAUUUUUAGUAAAGCAUGAUAUUUCAUAAAAUGUAAAUCUAAUUUACUCAUAAACGUUUCAUAAAACGUAACCAUUAAAUCAUGCUUUUCAUGUAUGCUUUUCUAAUAGUAAAACAUGCAUUUUAGAAAGGGUCCACUCAUAGAUACCACGUCGUCGAAGUGUCGUGUGAAAUAGAAAGGACAGAAUCGCCACUAAUAAAUGCACCUAAGCAUAUAAAGGGUACAAUUAAUAAAACUCUACUAUAAUGAUUGAAUUUCACAAAACGGACGUCAUAAACAGAUUUAGGACGUUGAAAAACAUAAUGUGGACCUCGGGUACCCCCACGCGUCGUCAUGAGCCAGGAUGGAUCGCCGGAAAAGUCGCCAGCGCCGCCACGACGAAGCGUGUGCUCCACUUACUGGCACUGGAAACCUUUCUCGUGUGUGAUAUCUUGUAAUGAUCUUCCCUUUUGUGAUCUUGAUUUAGAACGCAUUCUGUGCACUCUAGACAUUUCCUUAAACUUUGUUUAUUACCUUUAGAUUCUAAUGAUUAUUCAUGUAUAUUUCCUCCUAAUCAUUACUCUUGUAUUCAAUAAAUGGCUUUUGUCACCCUUGGGUGUCGGCCAGCACGCGCCUAUCUGAGUAUUCAGGGAAUAUCGGGGUCGGGACGUGUCAGAUUAUCCAAAAAAAAAACUUUUAACCAUUCUAAAACCAGUUCCACACAUACCUUUAAUCCCUUCAUCCAUUAUUCCAUUACUCCCAGUCUCACUUUCUUUCCUAUGAGAAAAUUGGCAAGUCCUUGAAGAGCAACUUUAGCAUCAUCGCUCUUCAUGAACUCUCAACAACCUCAUCAUGAGUCACAUUUGUGCUCUCUAUCAACCCUUCAAUCUCCCCACAUAAGCGACGUCGGUUGUCAUCAUGAUGUUGGCGAGAAUCAACAUCCUAGGAGGGUUAGGAAUAUAGGUGUGUUUCCUACUUUGGUUGUAUUUCCUUUAAAAUUCCUUGUAUCACAAGUUUUGGAGUUGUAUAUAUAUUACCUCCCAACAGGAGAAGAAUAACAAGAAUUAUUAGAAUUCUAAACUACAAUUUCAUCUUGGUAUCAUAGAGGUUUCAGCCUAUCUCUUCCUUUAAACCCAAGUCGUCCACAACAAAACUAAACCACAACAAUUUUGAUCAAAGAAAACAAGGUAGGUCUCAAAACAAGAGAGUGAAAUAAAUUCAUUGUGCCGAGUUUCAGAUAAAAAAGAUAGAAAAGACUGGACACUGUUUCUACAAAAAUGAAAGGUAUCGCAGCCUUUGGCCAGACUUCCAUACCAUAGAACAAAACCAUAAAAGUACAAUUUUCAUGCCGUUCUAAAUGGCUGAACAAGAAGUUGGGUUUCCCAUUAUAGGUUCAGCUCCAGUGUCCAAUCUGGGUGCUUUGCCGUUUAGAUUCAAGUUAAGGAAUUCAAACUACAAAAUUUGGUCAAAGAUAAUGGAGGUUCAUGCUGCAGGUUUGACACAAGAUGAGAUAUCUCAAUGGGCAGAUUUCAGCUGUGGAAGAAACCGAUCCUGGUUUUUCUAAAUGGCAUACAGAUGAUGCUAUCGUGCAGGGUUGGUUACUGAAAACCAUGGAGCCGCAUCUUAUAGGGCUAUUUAUCAACUUACCGACUACUCAUAAUAUUUGGGAAAACAUUACUCAGAUGUUUUAUGAUGGGGCUGACGAAUCUCAAUAUUAUGAGUUGAGGUGCAAAGCAACAAGGAUAAAACAGAAUGGAUGCCCAAUAUAUCUAUAAUUCGCAUAACUAAAAGGCGUGUGACAAGAGUGAUAGAAGCAUAUUUAUGCAACUUAGUUAGCUUGUUUCUUGGCAUUUACUUAGUUUAAUUCUAGUUAUUUUAGUACUUUAAGCUAUUUUCGUGUGUUUGUAGGUUCAAAUAACAAAGUUGGCAACAAAGUGCUAUUUGGAGCAUUUUGGAGCAUUUUUGGGCCAAGAUUGGAUAGUGCAAGCAUGGAGACAUGAGGAUGGACGUUUUUGAAGAUUAGAAGGCUAGAAAUCAGCAUGUGUGUGUGCAAGUGUGUUGACCUACAACUACAAACAUCCAUCCACUACAUCCAUUACAUCCACUCAUUACCAAACAUCCACCCACUACACCCAUUACAUCCACUCAUUACCAAACAUCCAUCCACUACACCCAUUACAUCCACUCAUUACCAAAACUACACCCAUUACAUCCACUCAUUACCAAACAUCCACCCACUACACCCAUUACAUCCACUCAUUACCAAACAUCCAUCCACUACACCCAUUACAUCCACUCAUUACCACAACAUUCAUCCACUCAUUUCCACUCAUUACCAAACAUCCACCCACUACACCCAUUACAUCCACUCAUUACCAAACAUCCAUCCACUACACCCAUUACAUCCACUCACACAACACUCAUCCACUACACCCAUUACAUCCACUCAUUACCAAACAUCCAUCCACUACACCCAUUACAUCCACUCAUUACGACAACACUCAUCCACUACACCCAUUACAUCCACUCAUUACCAAACAUCCAUCCACUACACCCAUUACAUCCACUCAUUAUCAAAACACUCAACCACUACCACCUUAAUUAGAUGGUGGUCCUCUCCCUAGCCUAUAAAUACAUCCACCCUUCACCAUAACAAAAGAAAUCAGAAAAAAAUCCAUCCAAAUACACAUUCAUACGGAUAGUUUAGGGAGAAGGGAGGAAGCCACAUUCUGCCGCAAGGCAGAGUCUUUUCUUCUUAACCAUUCUACACAUUCCCACAACAAAAACACAAUUCCAUGCACAUUCAUUUCCCUUUCCUUGCCGUGACCUUCAUCCAACCUAAACACAUUCAGCCAUUCUCUUCCAUAUAUCCAUACACAUCCAUCAAACCAGACCUUGUGCCGUAACAAAGAGAAGAAUGAUGACCCUUGGACGUGCUUGCCAUUCAAGUUGGAUUGUUGGAGCGUUUUUAAGUGUUUUCAUUCUUUGGUUUUCAAUGUCUAAAUUUGUUUAUCUUUGCUUUGUGAGUAUGAGGAACUAAACCCCCCUUAGCUAGGGGGAAUUCGAAACCAUGUUCAUGCUUGCAAUAUGAUUUGAUUAUUUUCAGUUGUGAUUCAUAAGUUGUGAAUUCAAUUUACUUAUCCAUUUGAAUUAAAACUGAUAUGUGUGUGUUGGUUGAGAGUGCACGCUUAAUUUUCAUGCAUAAAUUUGAUGCUAGGAUAUAAGGGAGUUUCACCUAAUCGUUAUGAACUUAUAUUCACAGGUAAUGAAGGUUGCUCGUCACAACCGUGUUAAGUAAAUUCUUGGCAUAAGUUUCAUGCAAUUCAUAGUUACAAGUGUUUCGUCAAUGCUUAUGAUUUUCAUAGAACUUAAUGAUUCUUGCUUGUAUCUCUAUUAUGCAAUUCAUGUAGGGAACUUGUGGGGAAUGCUUUGGGUUGUUGUAUGCAAUCAUCCAAUUCAAUGAAAUUAGGAAAAUCUGAGGGUUAAUUAGUGCAAUUCACAGUUAAUCUGGGGCGUUGAGAAUUCAUGGUUGAUUGAAAAGCAACUGGACAUCGUUUUGUUUGCAAGUAUGUCAUGUGUGGAGAAGAACCUCCUAGCUAACCUAUCAUCCAUAGUUUUACCCAAAUUCGUGCAGAUUUCAUUAGUUCUUUAAUUUACUUGUUUUGUUUUCAAUUUCGUCAAAACCAAACCCCCCCCAUUUACCUUGUUGAGUCAUAUUAGUUAGAAACUGAUUUAGUUUGUGUUUUUAAGUGUUUCGAACCAAGUUAAAACCAAAAUUCGUCCAAAAGUGUGUUUAGAGUCCAAAUCUGCCCAAUUUGUGUUUUUAGGCAGAUUUGGGCGUUUUUAGCUUGUUUUGAGUCUUUUGAGUUUGUUUUGAGUUCUUUGAGUCUAGUUUAGUGUUUUUAACUUUGUUUUUAUGUUUUUAAGUCAGUUUAGAGGUUAUUAGCAAGCCCUCCUAAUCCCCAGUCCAGAACGAUCCCUACUUACAUUCUUUACUACAAUUGAUACAAGAGGGUUUAAUUUGUGUGUUAAGUAAAUUUUCGCAUCAAAGAGUUGGACAAGCGACGCCCAAAUAGAAUGAUAUAUGCUGCUGAUUUGAGAAGCAGAAAAGAGGAUCUUCAAAAAGAUAGGGUGUAUGAUUUUCUUGCAGGACUAGAUGACUCAUUGGAUGCAGUUCCCAACACUCUUUUACGAAUAAAGCCUGUCCUUGGAACAGAAGAGUGCUUUAACACCAUUCGGCGUGAAGCACAAAGAAAAACCACCAUGCUUGAGGAAAGGAAAGUGAUAAUGGCCUAUCUAUGGCCAUGAUCAACAAACCUUCAUUCGAGCCAUCACGUUCUCUACGCGAAUUAGAGGACGCAGAAAAAGACAAACUUCAAUGUAUACACUGCAAUGGAACUCACCAUACAAAAGAGACGUGCUUUGAAAUUCACGGCUACUUGGAAUGGUUCCUAGAGCGUAUAAAACAAUGAGGUCAGGGAAAACCGAAUAGAAGAGCCGUGAAAGCCAAGGUGGCAGACUUAAGCCCUGGGCUUACGACCUUGAUUUCCAACGGACCAAGUACUUCUAUUCAGCGUGUUAGGCUGGCUGAGCCUAAAGCCCAAAGUCAGGUAGGGCAGCAAUCAAGUGGAUGCACUAGCAACAACGCUGACGUCAAUGAAGGAAACACCUUGGGCCCAUCUGCAGACUUCAAGCAGAUUGUAGAAUUGGACCCAAACAACUUGGCCCAACAGCUAUCCCUAUUAAAUUUAAUUUCCUCGUAAUAACAAAUCGACGAUCCAGGUAAUCCUGAUACAGGUUGGAUUAUUGACUCCGUGCUAUUGAUCACAUGACUUUUGACCAUACUCUUUUAAAUUCCACAACACCCCCACGGGAUAGUAUUCUCACUACAAAUAGAGGUGUUGCCCCGGCCACAAGGGCAGGUUCAAUCGCACUCACUCAUACUCUCUCUUUACACAACAGUUUACUCGUCCCUAUAUUUUAUAGCCAUCUAUUAUCUGUGGGACCAAAAUUCUGAAAGACGCUAGGCGGUUGUUGGGCGGCUAGGCGGAGGCCUAGGCAGACUAGGCUGAUUUAAAUAAAUAUAUUAUAUUUCGUGUAAAUAAGUGUUUGUUUAUAUUUAAAAAAUAUAUAAUUUCAUCAUAAACUACAAAAUCAAUUCACAUAUAUAUUAUGAAGUAUUGGAACAUAAUGAAAACAUGGGGACCAAGCAUAUAAUGUGUGUUCAUUUAUGUAUUCAACAAGUCUCUUACAAUUUAUUGAAAAAAAAUAAUAUGCAAAAUUGAAGUUAUCUAUUUUCUGUUUAAGCGAGUAGCAUCCUAAGUUAGUGCCUAGGCGCAUUUUCUUAAUUUCCAAACGCUUAGGCAUUAAUUGGGGUGGUAGCCACCCGCCUAGCGCUUAGGGGGCGAUAGUCGAGGAUUUUUAGAACAGUGUGUGGGACAAGUCACCAAGCAAUUAAACUAUGUUGUGGUAAUGUUUUCGUCUUUCUAUUUACUUCAUAAUAUCCGGACUCAAGUGAUCAUUGGGCGUGAUACUAAGAGAAGAAGGUUGGACCAUGUUGAUGAUGUUGGACAGGGCUGUGUUCAUCAACUUCAAGGUCACGACAAUGAAAAGUUGAAGACUGUCUAGUUAUGGCAUCAUCGCUAGGUCAUGCCUCCUUUGGUUAUUUGCAAAAAUUACUUCCGUUAUUAUUUAGGAAUAUUUCAGAUUCUUCGUUAAAGUGUAAUGUUUGCACAUUAGCUAAAAGCCAUCGAGCUUCUUAUUCUCUGAGUAUGAAUAAAAGAACGAUUCCUUUUGAGUUAAUUCAUUCGGAUGUGUGGGGGCCAUCUCUAGUUACUACUUAGCAUGGUGUGUAUUGGUUUGUAACCUUUGUUGAUGAUUGCACUAGAAUGACUUGGUUGUACCUCAUGAAAAAUAAAAGCAAUGUGGGUGGAAUCUACAAAAAGUUUUAUCACAUGGUCAAUACUUAAUAUUCACUCCCUAUUAAAGUGCUUUGGUCAGACAACGGUAGUGAGUAUAUGAAUCAGGAUCUUUCUCAAUUUUUUCACAGAAACGGGUAUUCUCCAUGAAAUUACAUGCCCUCAGACUCCACAGCAAAAUGGCGUUGCCGAACGAAAAAAACUGGCACAUCCUUAAGAUUACUUGUGCCCUUCUUAUUGGUGGUUAUGCACCCAAGACAUAUUGGGCAGAUGCAGUAACCUAUGCUAUUUAUCUCAUGAACCGGAUGCUAUAGCGUGUUCUCUCUUUUAGAACACCUUUGGCCAUGCUUGCCGAUCAUGAUUCGCUCCCGUCCACCCUUCACCUAGAACCACGGGUUUUUGGUUGCGUGGCAUACAUUCACCUUCACAAAAAUCAACAAAGCAAACUUGAUCAAUGUGCAGUGCGGUGCGUGUUCCUUGGAUUUAGUCCUCAACAAAAGGGCUAUUGUUGUUAUCAUCCAUCCACUUGACAUACGUAUGUGACCAUGGAUGUUACCUUUUCUGAAGACGAGUUAUUUUUUCCUCCCAACCAUACUCCUCAAGGGGAGCAAACCUUAAUUAACGAUUAUGGCGAGUUCGGUAUAAUUGAAGAAUUAAGUGUAGAAGACAGUGUACAUUCCCAAAAUGGGUUGCUUGACCAUGACAGUCAUAGUCCAAAUGGCACCACCACUAGUGGGCCACGUAAGUGCCCAGAAUUUGCCAACCCAAAAGAGCAAAAAAAAUAUGAUAUUGCCGAGAGCCCAAGUGGGCCUAAUGAACUGAAUAAUGAUUCAGGCCUCAGGAAAAAUCUAGUGGACAUUGAUGAUGACCCAAGUUGGCUGAAUGCAGAAAAUCAUCUACUCCGUUGCCAACUAUGUCACUCAUCGACUUUCAUCGUAAUACUGUGCAUCUGUUCAACAGAUGGAAAUCUUUAAAAUAUCCACUAGAGUGGAAGGAGCCUUGAAAGAUCCAAAAAGGACAGAAGCAAUGCAAGUUGAAAUGAAAGUAUUACAAAAGAAUAAUACAAGGAGUGUAGUUACAUUUCCCAAAGGAAAGAAAUUAGUAAGAUGCAAGUGGAUGUUCACUAUUAAACAUAAGGCGGAUGGGACAAUUGACAGGUACAAGGCGUAAGUUAAUGGCAAAAGGGUUUACUCGGACAAAGCAAGGUAGUUAGAGGCUAAAACCCUGAACCCACUUGUCGUGCAAUAGAACAUGUGUAUGUGCACAUCUAUUCAACCAGGACGCAGCAAUGCAGGGUCAAGUCGAUCCUUCUUGUUGGUGGUGAAUACAAUAAUUCUCUCGUCGCCAAAGCUUGACCACAAACCGUCUAUGAAGUUCAAAAGCCCGAGAGUGACACCAACUACGAUCAUUAUAACACCACGUGAUAUGUCAAUGCCAGUCAAAAGAAAAAAUGAGUAACUAAGAAUAUCAUUUGUAACAAAAAACUGAAUGAAUUGAAGCAAAACCUUGGUGUUAAAAGUUUGAUUUUGUUUCUCUGAUUGCCGAUUUUAUAUAUCAACACUGCAACAAUCGAUAUCCUCAAUCACCAAAAUCGAACGAUUUGUAGUAGACAACAAUACCCUCUUCAAUUUAUAGUCACUGGAAAGAUUAGUAAGCCCCAAAUCAUAGACAUCAAACUUAAGAUAAUUAGCCAUGGCUGCGAUCAAGCUUGAUUUCCAGUGCCGGGAAGACCAUACAACAAGUAGCCUUUUUCCAAGCCUUCCCCACCUUCUUAUAAAACUCCCUACUCCUCACAAACCUGUCCAAAUCCUCUGCAAUCAUUUUCUUGAGCUCAGGGUCCAUCGCCAUCGUCUCAAAAGUAGCAGGAUGCUCUAGGUUUAUCAAUCCCCAAGUACUGUUGUUGCCGUCAUCAUACGAACAUAAAUGACGAGAAUAAAGCUUCACAACCUUCUCCUCUUCUUUAAUGGCAUUUGCCCGAGCAAGCAUGUAAGGUCAGAAGGCGUCCAUCACUAUGUCUUUGUGUUUUUGGUGAAAUGUCAGCUCAAAGAAUUGGUUCUUCGAACUUUCCCUGUGUUGGAAAUGUGCCCUAAAACCAAUCAUAUGAUGAUACUUUACGGACAUUUCACAUGUUAAACUAAUCUAGUUUAACUAUAAAGGGCAAAGAUUAUUGUUUGAGCCGUCUCAUAUAAAUGUUAUAUGCUUAAACGAUAAAGUCCAAGGAAUAUGUGAUUGGGAGAAUGCGAUCUAAAGAAGUUAGAUUCAUGAGACCAUUCUUUCAUAGACACAUCCUAAACGUUCCUAAUCAUAGGAUUGCCAAUUGGGCAUUGACAGUCCGUUAAGAUCAGUACGUGCUGUAUCUUCUCUCAAGGAGAGUGACUAGUCUCGAGUCAUUGGUGUGUGUGACAUCAAGACAAGUACGUAGGUGCUCAAUAGAGAAUGAGUUCACUGAACACGAUCAACGAAGAGUUCUCAUAUUCAUGUCACAUGAGAACUCAUGGUUGGGAUAAUGCAAAGUAGUCCUUUGACCUGAGGCAUCACAGUUGUCUUGUGGUUAAGUUCUUGAUCUUUGAUUAUGUCAAAGUCACCCCAUCGGGGUGUCCACGGCAUCGUUGGGGUUAAACCACUUAGCCAUGGAGACAAGUGAAUGCGCAACAAGGGAUCUCUAACCUUCAAACCGUUGGGGGAGAAUACUCUAUGAUAUGAUUUAGAAUCUCUGGCCAGAGUAUGAAUGAGAUUUAGAAAAGUCGUUGUAAAUCACAUUCAAGGUAAUCAUAUAAGCACACGAAUCACAUUGGAUAGUAGACAUGAAUAAAUAAACUAUCAAACCAAACAAUGUGGUCAAGAGUAUUGUAUUAGAGAAAGACCGUAUUGCAUUUGUAAUCCCAAACUGAAUAGGUUCUUCACCUCUUCUGAUUAGCUUGGGUAACCAUGAUAUGCUGCUAGGUGUCACUCAUGGUUUGUGGAAGCCCUAAACGUGUGUAAUCACUAAAGGGAGAAUUGAAAGUAAGUUUCAAUUCACAAUCGAUUUGAAAGAGUUCUAAUCGCCCACUGCCUCGCUAAAAGGAACCUAAUGGAUCGUACACCGUGUAAGGUGGAGAUUGAAGAAACAAUGGAGAUGAGUAAGAAUGAUUAAAUGGUUUAAUUAUUUAUUUAUGGCAAAGAUUAAUUAAUAUGUUAAUUAGUCAAACGAAUAAAGUUCGUUAAAAGACCACGGGUUAGUUUUUGGGCCUCAAGGCCCAAUGGGCUUCGAACGUCAAGUCCAUUGACUUAAGUUGUAUGACAACUUAAUUCACAAAGGCCCAAAAGCCCAAACAAAAACCCCAUGGCCGGCCAUUUAGAGGAAGGGUAGUGAACUUGCUUUAAUUACAAGUUUGCCACUCAAAUGAAUAAAGGUAUAAAUAUGACUUUAUAGCCAAAAUUCAUUUAGGGUUUGUUUUGGAGAAAAUUGGAGAGAACAUGUCUCUCCAUUUCUCUCUAAAGAGGCCGGCCCCUUGGAGGGUGUAUCUAGCCAUACUACUACUCCAAGGUCACUCAUUUUCUUCUCCAAUCUCUCCUUGGUGUGGAGACUUAGACGUUCUCAAUUUUGGGAACUUGGAGAAACCUUUUCAUCCAUCCAAAUCCAUAGAUUUUAGAUGCAAGGAAUGAAGGCCCUCUCUUUGGGUGAUUAGCCUUUGCUUAUGCAAAGAGGAAUCUACAAAGGUAUAUAUUUCUCAACUCACUUUGAUUUGAGUUGAGUCUUGGUUCACCAAUCUACUAGGCUUUGAAUUUCAUGGUUAAUGUUUUGUUUUUAAGUGCAUGCAAGCAUGAUUCCGCCUUUAAUUGUUAAUUGCAUGCUUAUAGAUGUUGCUUAAAUGAACAUGUUUUCACAAUAUAUUCCUUCACCCUGGAGUACUCAUUCCUUCCCUUCUUGGUUUCCAUGGCAUUAAAGCGCCACCUGAGCUUAACAUUAUUGAAAGUGUUGGUGAGUUCUUCGUCUUUGUCGAUGGAAAAUCAGAUGGUCUAUUGGCGAUGCGUUUUUCCGACUCGAAGGCGUUGAGUGCUGGGACUGGUGCCAAUGGUUUGGAGGUAGACCUUAGCGGCAUCAUAGACCUGGUUGCGUGCCACUCCGUAGAGCUCGUCAAUGAUGAAAGUGAGGUUAAAGGAGAGUGGAGUGAAAAGGGAUUUGAGUUUUGAGUAGACGUAUGAGCGGACAGCGGGGAUGAGCUUUUUGGCCAUGGGACGGACCAACACCAUGGAUCCUUUAACAGAGGUAUAGGCUGUGAACAAGGAGGAUGCUACCGUGAGUAGAAUUUUUAGAUCAAAGGAAAACAUUUUGGUAAUUUCAGAUUGGUUUGUUGAGAGAUGCAUGAACACCAAUGUAAAAGUAUCUACUCAUCAAGCAACAAAUUAGACUUUAUACAAGAUGCUUAAUUUUAUUUGAUCCCCUCGUCACCACAAACGAACCCAACAAAUUAUGUAUACUAAAACUCAGUUGAGUUUUAGCACUGUUCAGCAAUAGUAAAAGGGCAGAAAUGCCCUUGAUUUGUUUGGGGUUUAGGUGCUGCUGAAUUGCUUUGUACAGUUAAAUGUCAUUUUUGCCCCCAUUAGGUGGGCUGUCUUCAGUUGCUCGAAAAGUCCUUUUUUCGGGUACGUUUUCUGUCCUGCUUUUUUCCAAUUUGGAGAUGCACUGAUAAUUGUUGGAUUAAAAUGGAUUUGUAUAUUUUGGGAAGAACUGAGAGGAGUCGUUGGAAUUUUAGAAAGCUUUGUGUUUCUACCUUUUAUGUGACAGAGGGAAUACAGACAGGGAGAGGAAGAGAGAAAACAUUAGUUUAGAUUGCAAUUUUAAAAGUUUUUAUGUUGUUAGUGUUGGAACCAAUGUAUUUUGUUGGGAAAUUGAUAAUAUGUAAAGUUAUUAGGAUUUUGGAAAGAUUUGCCUUUCUCAGUUUUAUCUGCCGGAGGGAACACAACUCUUACAUAUAUGAUUUCAAGUUGUCCCUUUAGAAAUUCAAGCUCUAUUGAAUACAUGAGGUGUAAGAAACUGUUUGGGAUAUUUUCAAGUUUUUCUGAUUCCUGAAAAAAAAAAAGCAUGCUUAAAAGUAAUUAUAUUUUAAUUUUUAUUGAAUUCAGGUAACCAUCUUUAGGUUUUUGCUUUGAUUUGAAGAAUUUCUUACCCAGGAAAGCCAGGGCUUCCUGAUGAGUUCUUUGGGUUCCAUAUCUGGCAUCUUUGUUUUGUUCAAAUUUGGGCGUUUGUGAUUUGGGAUUUAUGUACUGUCUUAUCAACUCUUAAUGUUGAAUUAGGUAGCUAUUAAUGUUGGAUUAAUCAAACUUGGGCAUCAGUUCAUAUGUUUUUCAAUGUUCCUAUUCCGAUUUAAUAACAUGAUUUAAUAGUGUGAUGCUGAUUUAGGCUAUAAAUUCAGAGGCUUUUGAAUAGCCAAAUUUGCAACACAGAUUUCAGAGGCUGUUGUAUCAUUAGCUGAAAUAUGGUACAUAUAAUCCUUAGACAUCAUUUUUCACUUUGAUUAAGAUGUGUACCUACCUUCUCAGUUUUUACCAUUGUAGAUGCGGGUGGUAUAAAUUUUUACUUAAAAAAUUGAACUCGAAAUGAAAACCCAGGUGAAAAGCAUGGAAACAACUCUUGCGUAGAAAUGACUUCUUGGAAUGAAUUUUCUUGAGAUUUAAUCCCAGCUAUUUGAUAAGAGUCAGGUUUUACAACUUAAACCAUUUCCAAUAACUAUUUGGUAAUAGGAUGAAUAAUUAAUCGUCAAAAGUGAGUUCAUACAUAUGAAAUCCUGUUUAAGCUUACUUUUUCCCUUAUGAAUAUUUCUUAAUCUGAUAGGCUGAUGCUUGGGUUAUUGAGAAUUUUGCCUCGGUAGCAAAAUAUCUAUCUGCCCAAAUUAUGGGACACGGGUGUAGUUCUUAUUUUGAUAAUUUUUUCUUCUUUCUCUCUUUGAUACUUUUCAUGUGUAUUCACUUGGGAAAAAUACUUAAGUCUUAAUGAUAUUAAUGAUGCAGGAUAUAAUUUCUUCUGCAGCCAUAAAAUCUGUAAACAGAUUUCCAAGUUUACAAGGAGGUUGCUGGGUCGAGUUUGGUUACACAGAUAACACUGCAGUAUACCAUACAAAGGUUUUUUUUUCUUUUCUUUUGCCCCAUUUUUGGGAUAUUGGUUACAAAAUCCUUUUUUAGCAUAGGUGUGAAAUUUACAGUAGGGGUUAGUAAGUUAAUUAGUUAAUUUCAUUCUCAAUGUGCAUAAAUGUUGUUCUUGCAUUAAUUCAUUUUCUUUGUAUCGAAAUUGAAUAAAUCUACUUCUCCUUGAUAUCCACUCAUUCUGCUAAGAUAUUUAUGUUGUUUCUCUCAUGCUCUAUCACAAUAUAUCAGUUACUUUAAUAAAUUUAGUUCUAAACGUUUUCUCAACAUAGAUGAUCUUACAAAACUCAGUGAUGUACUCAUCUAAUUUUUAAGUUUUAAGUCUUUUUAAUGAAUAGUUUGGUAUUUAGGCAGCUUUGAUCUUUGAUUUUAAAUAUGAGAUUUUGUCUGAUUCUUUCCGAUCCUCAGUUUCUAUUGUCAUUUACGGUUUAAUGGACAUUCUUGAAUCACAUUGGUUAACACCAAACAAAUGGUAUGUGUCAUAUUUCUCUUUUUCUAUUCCUUUACUUUCAUACAGAGUUUUGUUUGAAUGCCAUCAUUUUCACAGCCCCUUAUACACCUUUGAUUCAAACUUCAUCAUUCUUUAAAUAUCUGUAUAUAUUAUGCUCACUAGGGGUGGGCACUUGGAACCGAAAACCAAAACCAAAACACAAAUUGAAUCAAACCGCACCAAACGGUUUGGUUUUACGGUUUUGAAACGGUUUCGGUUUCAAAACCGAACCACAGCACACAAAACGGUUUGGUUUCGGUUUUGGGUUUUCAAAACAGCAUCGAAACUGAAACCGCACCAUAUAAUAAAGAAAUGUUAUAUAACUUAUAUUUUAAACUUUUCAACUAGGUUAUAACUUAUAGGUUUGUAUUAUGGCAAACUUAACCUUUCAAUUGGGUUGUAAAGUAUUGUGAUUGGUGAUCAAGUUCAAUUUUAGUAGAUGUGAUGCAUAAGGAUUUAAAGUUUAAACCCUUUGAUGCAUUGGAUAUUGUCUCAAUUUUAGUAGUUGUCAUUUGUUGCAGUUUUGGUACAAGUUUGGUACAAGUUAGCUGCACUUUUGGUGCAGAUUUUUGGUUCUGUUUUGUGCAGUUUUUUAGUGCUGUUUUGGUGCAGUUUUUGGUGCUGUUUUUUUAUGCAGUUUUGCUGGAUUAUUUUUUGACGCAAUUUUGUGCAGUUUUGUGCAGUUUUUGGUGCAGUUUUGCUGCUGUUUUUUUAUGCAGUUUUGCUGCAUUUUUUUGGUGCAGUUUUUUGUACUAUUUUGGUGCUGUUUUUUAUGCAGUUUUGCUGAUUUUUUUUUUGCAGUUUUGACUCUUUUUUGCUGCAGUUUUGCUGCAAUUUUACUGCAUAUUCAUUAAUUAAUAUAUGAAGAAAAAAAGACCGUCUUAUGCAUAAAUGUGUAUAUUUUAAAUUGUACAUUUUUUUUCUCAAAAAUCAAACCGAAACCGUUUGAAACCACACCGCACCGAAUCGAACGGUUUGGUUUCAUUUCGGUUUUGGCUUCAAAACCGCACCACACCGCAAAAUGUUUCGGUUUCGGUUGUGGUUUCACUCGAAACCGCACCGCACCCACCCCUAAUGCUCACACGUUUUGUAAUCCCACGACAAUGAGCGGGCAUUAUUUCUAGUUAUACAUAUACUAAAACUCAACACAAGUUACUGUUCAUUAACAGUGUGCUCCCAUUUUUGCCCCGCUUUUUUUGUUAUUAUUUCAACUUUGCCACUUUUGUUUUGCUGUCAAACGGAGAACAGAAUCGUUCCAGACAUUUCUCUGCCUUUCCUCUUUCCUCGCUCGCAUACCUCGGGUUCCAUCGUCUGCCGUUCUGUUUUCUGUCUUCAUCUUUCUUCGUUGGUUGGGUUCGAAAUAUUUUUCCGCUCAUUCGAGCGGUAUUUACAAGUAAGUUUUGCAUGUUUCUGACGACGAGGGUUUUGAUUUUGCUUUUUUUUUUUUUUGUGUGUUUUUUUUGUUGAUAUCUGAUGUGUUUUGGUUUUGGAUUUCAGAGAUUUGUACCUAUAUUGGAUUCGAUUGGGUUUUGGUUGGAACCGAUCUAAUCCGGCAUUUGCAGGUCAGUUUUGCUCUGACGACGAGCCUGUGGCUCAUUCCCUUGAGAGCGACAAGCCCGAAACGGGGAGUACUGAGAGCAUUAGAGGAGGAGGAGGAGGAGAAGACGAAGAGGAAGAGCCCGUGGACGAGCCCGAUGAUCCCAUGGAGGAAGACGCAGUCAACUCCGCCGCCGUCUUCUGCAUCCGGCUCAAGCAGCCCAGGUCCAAUUUGCAGCACAAGAUGAGCGUCCCCGAGCUUUGUCGCAAUUUUAGGUAAAUUUUGAAAUUCGAGCUCCAAUCUGUUAAGCUUUGAGUUUUGUUCAUUGAAUUAUGCUUCUUUUUAUUGGGGAUGGGGGGCAUUUGAUUGAAUUGUGUUUAGACAUUGGUUUCGAAGCGGUACCACAAAUAAAAUGAGAAUAUUUGUAUUGGUUUGAGCUUUGUAGUUGUGUGUUCAUGGAGAAAAAUUCAAAAUUUUCUGCAAUGAAACAAGAAAUUGUUGUUAUAUAGUAUAUACCGCGAUGGGAAGGAGAGAAAAGUUGUUGACUUUGAAAUGUGGAGAGAGAAGGAUUGAUAUUGGGGGAUUCUAUGGCGGGUAUUUCCAAAAUUUUAGGUCUUUAUUAAUUUAGUUACGCCAUUGCUCUAUGAACUGUUGCCAAUCAAUUACUUUCUAUGAUGUCAAUAAAGGUGGACAUGAGAAUUUUUGGUACUGGAUAAUGGCUACUUCAUUCGUACAACUCAGGAGAACUUACCUCCUCUCUUCACUUUGUAAUUCAAUCGUUAGUUUUAAUACUAAUUUCCUGCCUUAGUCUGAGAGUUGUAUGAGUUAUCCGCUCUUUGCAAUAAAGGAAUUGUUAUAUUUGGGUGCUCUUUCGUUUCUGGUUCAAUUUUUUGUGUGAAAAUUAAAAAAAGGAGAAAUGAUGAUGGUUAAUUUUUCUCCCAUACUUGAUUUUCUUGGUUUGUUUCUACUAAUCUUUUGUUUCUUGGGCUGAUUGCACUUUUUUUUCGUUAUUUUUGGUGCAGAUAUGAAGAGGAUUUGUGAAGUUGCUGUGAUUUCAUGGUAAGUUUCUUUGAACGGAUUUGAGAAUUUGGGAUCGUUUGGGUGUUUUGAAGGUUUUUUUUUUUAUUUUUUUUUAUUGGGGAAAAAAAUGGUUAACAGUUAAUUGAUUGUAUUUUAAUUUUUAUUCAGGUACUCAUGAUCAGUUUUUGGAUUUGAUUUGAAGGAAUUUCUAGGGUUCAUUGGUGAGUUCUUCGAGAUGUGAAAUGGGUGGUUUCUUUUGUUUAAAUCUGGGGCUUUUGUAGUUUGGGAUUUGUAAAUGAAUUAAAAUUUAUUGUUUUAUGAUUUGGUUCCCUUUUUAUUUUCAAGAAACGGUGGUCUUCAUUUUUUGGGGCUAUUGUGUGUGGGCUUCCAAGCUGUUUGUGCUUGAGGUAUAUAAUUUCAGCUUUUCUCUUUGGGUUUUUUAUUAAAGAAUUUAAAUUUUUAUGUGCUCUGAAUUGACUUACAGAGCUCUUACAUUAGUUUUUUCUUGCUCCUUUUUAACUCUUGACAUGAUUUCAGGAUGUUGGAAGAGCCCUCUUCCGAGCACAUGUCGAGAGUCAACUCAAGGUUAACAGAUUUGUAUAUUUAUUAUUUGUGCAUUGAAUAAGAAUUAGAUAAUGGUUCAUGAACACAAAAUGAUUUUGGCAUAUAUACAGAAUGAGAUAAUGUUUAAGCCUGACCUGUUUGUGGCGCCUCAUCCAGAAUUGCCACUUUUGCUUUUGGAUCAAAUGACGUAUGUUGUAUAGCAUCUUAUCUUUGCACAGCAUGUCGCUAUUAUUUAACUCCUAAUGGAUCUCAUUUUUUCAAUAAUUAGAAUUUGGGGAAUUUGCUUGGAUUUAUUUUUACGUUAGGCUGGUGAAAGGAUUUCGCUCUUAUCAACUCAAGAUUAUGAUUACACAAACAAAAUGAUGCAGCAUUGGUCGCGUAUUUCUUCCUGAUGAGAUGGGUUGGAAGGAUCGAGCUGCCAACCACUGUUGAGUCGUCAAAAGCACUACAUUUUUGAAGUACAUCGGUAAAAUAGGAUCAACAACUCUUUAUAUGUAUAUUGGAGUUAGUGAACAACUAGUAUAUAUUUUAUGUAAAUACUUUGUACAUGUUUUAGGUUUAUAGUUUUUACAUAUUUAUGCACAAUGCUUUUAGUCCCUUAUUCUAACACUUGCUUACAGUGCUUAUAAUCCAUUUGACAUUAUUUGGAGCUCAUGGUUUUAUAGAAAGGAUAUAUAUGCUGACAUGAAUGCAUGCAUAUAUUAUUUCCUCUUCAAUUAAAGAUAGAAAUUCCUAAACGGUAACAUAUAUUAUGAAUGCAUGCAUAUAUUAUUACCUAGCAAGAUACUAGAACACAUUUAAUGGCAUUUAAUUUAUUGUCUAUCAAGAAACUAGAAACUAGAAGACGUUGAAUACCAUUAGAAAUUUAAGAUGCAUUACCAUCUUUUCGUAUAAUAUUUCCAAGUUCUUUUUGAGUCGGUGAAAAUUUUAUUCUGUGGACAUUUUUUGGAUGAAAUAUGAUUAAGUAUAAUGCUUUCUGAGUUAUUUUGUUUCGUCAGAGUAAUUGGAUUUUUCAUGUGGUAGAAAGGAAUUAGAAUUUUGCAUGAAUAUAAUUAUUUGUUUUCACAUUCCAAAUUGAAUGUAGUGUGUUUUAUAUAUUGUUGUAUUAGUUGCAAAGAAAUAAAAUAUUUAUGCAUAUUCAUAUAAUUUUCAAUCCCGCAGCAACGCGCGGGUACAAAUUCGCCACCACCGUGAGUGCAAAGGACACCCAAAUACAAUGCUUGAGAAAUUUGUCCAUUAACAUUGACCAUUGACCAAUAAGGGCGACGAAAUUGGACAAAGUAACACAAUAAAAUGUAUCGAAUUCCGCACAUAUAUAUUAUACGUCUUAGUCCAUUCAUGUUAGCCCCUAUUAGCCAAUUAAACAUUCUCCAACAUCCGCCUUAGAGAAAAGAUUGCUAUUCCACCUAUCAUAUAGGGUCAAGACGGUACACCAUUAGUUUUGAAAUUUAACUUGACCUUUUUAUUUUUUAAAUUUAUGAUUAAGGUCUGUUUGACUCUAAACUAUGAAAAAGAGAAUUCAAACUUGAAUGCAGAGUAUAAAGCACACUGCAGGCCUAAUUUAGAUUUAGAAUGAAUUACAAUAUCGCUUUGUCAAAGAAAAAAAGUAGAGUAAACUCUGUUUCUGCAAUUCCAUCUAAUUUCUUGUGUUUACAUUCACGAAUUCAUAAAACCAAGUUCAGCAAGUCAUUACAUCACAUAAGAUAUCACAAAAGAGAGCUUGAAACUAGCCAGAGAUUUCCGAAAGGGUUUAAGGGUUAAUUACCCGAGAUUGAAACAUUAAACUAGGACAUGCGAGGUGCCAGGCAACAAGCAUGAGGAUUUCGACCAUGGAAGACGGAUGUGCAGCAACUUUUUGAUCCCCUUUUUGUGCCGCUGUUGCUUCUUAACCGACGGCAGCGAUGUUUCCUUCUUCUUGCUCUCAGCCUUCUUACUUUUGAGCAGGUUGACAAGUCCUUGAAGAGCCACAUCCGCAUCAUCACUCUUCAUCAGCUCCUCAGCAACCUCUGCAGGGGUGACCUCUGUGCUCUCAAUCAGCCCUUCAAUUUCUCCGCAGAGGCGAUGGCGGUUGUUUUCUUGAAUGCCAAGGUAGUUAGAGGCCAAGAUCCUGUACCCAGCUGUGGUGCAAUAGGACAUGUGAAUGUGCAGGUCCAUUCGACCCGGACGCAGCAAUGCCGGGUCCAGUCGGUCUUUGUGGUUGGUGGUAAACACAAUGAUCCUCUCAUCUCCACAGCUUGACCACAAUCCAUCAAUAAAGUUCAAUAGACCCGAAAGUGUCACCUGCAAAUUAAACAUUAACUCCAUGUAAAGUUGCAACGCAAUGCCAAUGCCCAUUUGAAAAUAACAUGAUAAACAGGAAGAUGCAAAGUACUAAUUUGGGUAGUCACGUGAUGAGAGAAAUCCUAAUGACAGUACAUAUAGGAUCUCUCAAUAAAUAUGCCCUAAUUACAUCAAACGAACUUCCGAAAAUUCUGAUUAGGCCUUAAUAACAAUUGUAGCAAUUGGCUACUACAAUAAAAAUUUGAAAUUUCGAGCUUCAUAUAGCAAAACAUUGAACCUUGAUUCAUUAAACAAAGGGCAUCGAAAAAAAAGAGUACUAACCCGGCUCCUGUCCGAAUCCGAAUCCGAAUCCAAGUCCGAAUCCGAAUCCGAAUCCCGGUUGCCAACAUCCACUCUGCAGCAAUCAAUGUCCUCAAUUACCAAAAUAGAACGAUUGGUAGUGGACAGCAAAACCUUCUUCAACUGAGAGUCACUGUAAAUGCUAGUGAGCUCCAAAUCGUACACAUCAAACUUGAGGUAGUUAGCCAUGGCGGCGAUCAAGCUCGAUUUUCCGGUCCCUGGCGGCCCGUACAGCAAGUAGCCCCUUUUCCAAGCUUUCCCCACCUUCUUAUAAAACUCCUUCCUCCUCACAAACCUCUCCAAAUCCUCCACGAUCAUUUUCUUCAUCUCCGGGUCCAUCGCCAUGGUGUCGAAAGUCGACGGGUGCUCCAGGUUCACCGACCCCCAUUCGGAAUUCGCCACGUCAUCGUCGUUGUAUCUCGACCAAAGGUGGCGGGUGUAGAGCUUCACCGCCUUCUCCUCUGCUUUAAUGGCGUCUGCCUGAGCAAGAACAUAAGGCAGGUACGAGGAAAUCACCUUGUCCAUGUAUUUCCUACGAAAUGUCAGCUCAAAAUACCGCCUUUCGGAUGUGCUGUCGUUCUUCCCCUUCUCGGUCUCCGAGAUAAACCGCCACUUGAGCUCGACGGCACCGUCGAAGGUGUCGGAAACUUCCUCGUCCUUGUCGAUGGCGACGCCGAUGUUCUUCUUCCGGGGAGCUUUGCUGACGCGGAGGCGCUCGGUGUGGGGCCCGAUCUUUGUCCGCAGGUAAACCUCGGCCGCGUCGUAGACUUGGUUGCGGGUCAUGCCGGAGAGCUCAUCGACUACGAGAGUGAGGUCACGGGAGAAGAGAGGGGCAAAAAGGUAAUUCAGGGCUUUGUAGAUGUAGGAGCGGAAGGGGGCGGGGAUGAGCUCGCUGGCGACGGAGCGGAACAGCAUCAUGAAUGUGGUGACGGAAGCGUAGACGGAGAACAUCGACGACGCCGUCGUCGGCAUCUGGUCUUUCAGUUUGUCCAGAGAAAACAUUUUUGAGGUUUUAUGAAAAAUGGCGGCUCUGUUUUCAGAAUUUGAGAAAAGUGAUUUUGCUGCAGAGUUUUUAUAGAUGUAAUGAUCUUUUGGCUAACAGAAGAAAUGGUAUGGACUGUUUAGUAAUUUUAUCGUAAGUUGAUGUGCAGAGAGAGGAAAGAUUCGGGCGAUGCCGCAGCUGCGAUUUCUUGGGGCUAAAGAAAGGAAAAGGUGUGUUCCAAAAAAAAAAAAAAAGAAAAAAAAAAGGAAAAGGUGGAAUAAAUGUAAAACCGUCAAUGUCAUGGACGUGGGAGCUUGACUUUGGCGUCGGCAAUUCAGCAAAUAUUAUUAGUAGUGUAACACUAGACAGAUUAAAUUUGUAAUCUAAAUGAUGUAUCAAUAACAAAAAAUAAGUACAUUAAUCAACGUUUAAGUAAUAAUUUAAUCAUCAACUUCCAUGUCAUUUAAUUUACAAAAUUUAACCAAAGGGGGGCACCCUUCUCCCAAAGUUACGGUGCUAUUUUGCUGAGUUCCUUAGAGAGAGUUGUCUCACGCCUCUAGGUAUUCUCUACCUACCCACCUGUGUCGAUUUUGGGUACAGGUACCCUUUUGUUGAAGGUCGUUCAAGCUUUUUCUGCGAGCAUGACAUGGACUUUUAGUCGGAAUCUUAUUAAAAAUGGGUGCGGAUCAAUAUGAAAUUAUUACCCCAUGCCCAAUCUAUAUUCUCUUAUAUAAAUUUAGUCUUGCUAGCAUUACCCUUGUUAUUAAGUCUCAUUAGUCGUUCAUGCUUUUUGUUUGAUAUGGGACUCUUUAAAUUUUAAGUAUUGACUACAUGUCAAGUAUGGUUUUGAUACUUGGACCUAUCAGCUUGCACCUUCACCUCAUGCUAGUUGUGAACACUGCAAAAAUAUUAGGGAAAUACCCCAAAAUGGGACAAUUUCUUAAUCUUGAGAAAGAAAUAGGACAAACUGGCCUGCACACCACGCACAAAAUCGAAAUUACUACAAUACCCACAUAUAAAUGGGUUAUUCCUCCCAUUUCUAACUUCUCUUUCACUACUCUCUCUCCCUUCCUCUCUCUCUCUCUUCUUUCACUUUCUCUCUCUCUACUCUCUCCCUUCCUCAGAUCUUUGAGCUUCGAUUUCGAAGAGAUGGAAGUCCAAAGAGAAGUGAGAUGAGUGAGCUGGGCUUUGGGUUCACCUCAUACCCCUGAUUUCGAACAAAGUGAUGUGUGAGAGAGAGAGAGGUGAGAAGAGUGAGUUGCCAUAUUUUUUGUUUUGGCCGGAAAGUUCCAUUUUUUCCGGCGACUGAAGCUUCGGCAGGCAUAUUAAGGUAAGGUGUUUAGUUCCAAAUUCCUUCAUCAAUGAUUUAUGGAAUAAAUGGGUUGUUUGUAAGAUGAAUUAAUACUUAGAAGUUAAUUAGGGUUUGUGUUUCAUGUUGGGGCGUAUGGGUUGUGGAAUAAAUUUCAAAUUUUGACGUGCUACAAGACGGGGAUGGAACAAUUUCUAGUUCAAGUGUUCACUUGUAGAAAUUUGUGUGAAAUUUUUUCCGUAAUGUGCAUGUGGUGUGCAUGGCUACACCUUAAUAUGAGAAGCGGGCAGACCUGUUGACACGCCCGACCCUGAUAUUCUCCAACAUACCAGUGUAGGCAUGUGCUGGCCGACACCUGAAGGUGACGAAUCCAUAUUAGGAUGCAUGACAACUAAAAACAAAUAACCGACAUAAAUAAAACUUGUAAAUUUAAUUAUAAUAAGUAUGCAAUUGUGGAACGUGUUCAGAGCAUACAACUAAUCUGAGACACUAAAAAGGAAUAAUAUAAAAUUGAAUGAACAAAGGAAUGGGUUCUACACUGAGAGGACUCGAAGACGUCGACGCUGGAGUGUCUUAAUGUCAGGCUUGUACGCCUCGAUUCUAAGUCCUGAGGGGGCACAAAACAAAACAUGAGUGGACCAAGUUGAUAUAUAAGUAAUACUAAAACAGUUAUUCUUCAACGUAAUAACCCCCAGAGUUUAAGAAAAUUCAAUAGUAUAAUAGGUUUUCCGAAAACCCUAGCAUGCCAUAAAACUUAAUAAAACAUAUAUCAUAUAUAGUGUGCUUAGUAGUGGUAUCAAUAUCACCUGAAGGCAUAUAGAACACUUCAUUCGCCCGAAGGCAUAUAGAAUUCUUCAGUCACUCGAAGGACUUCAUUAGCCCAUAGGCCCCUACAGCACCUGACCAAAGCCAUAUAUAGAUAUCAUUUGCCCAUAGGCAUAUAGUGACCACUAGAUAAGCACAAAAAUUAUUGAACAUAAUCUUUCCAAAAUAUAUCUCAUCAGAGCUCAAUAGCUCAAACAUCAUAUCAUAAAUCAUGUUCAUAAAUAUCUCAGUAAAAGUAAAUCCAGUAAAGCAUGAAAUAUCAAUAAGCGUAAAUCUAAUUUACUCAUAAACGUUUCAUAAAACGUAACCAUUAAAUCAUGAUUUUCAUGUAUACAUUUUUAAUAGUAAAAUCAUGCAUUUUGGAAGGGGUCCACUCACAGAUACUUCUCCGUCGAAGAGCCAUGCAAACUAGGGAAGACGGAAACACCACAAACAAUUACACCUAAGCACAUAAAUGGACCAAUUAAUAAAACUAUACUAAAACGAUUGAAUUUGGGAAAACAGACAUCCGAUUUGGAAUCAGGGCAUCAAAUUACCCUAAGAAGAGUCCCAGGUAAAUUUCGUAAACGUAAAAAAAAAGUCAACACAGAAUAUUCCCUGAUAGAAUUUAUUCCCUAACAGAAUAUUCCAUCCGGGUCGGGGCGAAACUAGGUUUGGGCUUGGCUAAAAAGUUAGGCCCGGUUUCUGGAUUUGGGUCAGAGUUUUGGGUUGGGCCAGGUUACUAGGAUUGGGCUGGGUUAGUUGGGCCUGGGUUAAGUAGUAGGGUUUUGGGCUAGGGUUCAUAAUGAGUUUGGAUUUACGAGUUGGGUCGACCCAUUUCAGGCCGGGUUGGCCUGUUUUGAUGAAGAAGAAAGCUGGAGCUUUCCCAGUUUCGUUCAACCCUAAAACUGAACCAAAACAAGUCAUACAAUAUACCAAAUUGAAGCCCAAAGAAUAAGCAUUCGAAUCAUACCAUUAGUUUCCUUAGUUGUGGCCGGAGUUAGCCGGAAAACGGCUUGGAAGCCACGACAUUCUUGCCGGAAUCUGGGGAAGUCUCCCUGAGGUGCUUCUUCGUAGUUUCGACGACCAAAACAUGUGCAAAAGAGUUAGUCUUCAACCGGAGACGAGGGAAGGACAACCAAAAAGGUUAAAACUUUACCAUCGUGUCGGAAAGUCGAGGAACUCGUUAGAAAUGGCGACUCUACAACCGUGGUGAUGUUGCAGGGUUGAGAGGGGAGUUUAAGGGGAGUAAGGAUAUGGCGGUUAAUGGUUGAAACUCGUUGAAACACGAUGGUGAGUACGGUGUUAUCCUCUGCAUUUGUAAAGAGAGUUGAGGGAGAGAAGUGAGAGAGAGAACCUUACAGGGAUAGAAGAGAUAAGAGAUGGAAAAAUAGGUCGGGGGACAAACUAAAAAGAGUGGGCCCCAUAAGGUACACAAUUUAAGACCCAAAAAACAACAUUUCAAAAUAUCUAACCCAACCAUAGUGAAAAUUCAAAAUUGCCCUUCCAUUCCAUAAGAAUUCAAGACAAGUGACACGCCCCGAUCCUGAUGUCCAGAGGACAGCAGGAUGACCACAUGUUGGCUGACACCUGAGGGUGACACAAGCCAUUUAAUGAAUGCAUAUGCUGAGAACAUAUGAAACAUGCAUAUAAAAUUUGCUCGAACUACAUAAUAAUAAUAUUCAACCGUCAAUAAAAUGAUAGUGAUAAUGCAUGACAUGUUCAAAGCAUACAUUUAAUUCAGAAUACAAGUGGAAAGUGUAACAGAAAUUGCUAUUACAAGUGAUGUCAAAAGCAAAGAGGAUGACGCGAUAUCACUGGUAAGGGAAUGCCUCGUAGCUCGGAUCGUAUGCCUCGUGCAUAUGUCCUGAGGGGGAGCAAAGCAAAUAUAAGUGGACCAAGUUGAUAUAUAUAUAUAUAUAUAUAUAUAUAUAAUAUCGAAACAGUUAUUCAACAACGUACUAAUCCCCAAAGUUUUAUGAAAACUCAAUAGUAUAAUAUGUAAUAAGUUUUUCCGAAAACCCUAGCAUGCCAUAAAACCUUCGUAAAACAUAUAUCAUAUAUAAUGUGCUAAAUAGUGGUAUUAUUAUCGCCCGAAGGCAUAGAGAACUCUUCAUUCGCCCAUAGGCUCUUACAACACCCACCAGAAGGCAUAUAGUAUCAAUCGCCCGUAAGCUCCUGCAGCACCCACCCCAAGGCAUAUAUGUAGUGACCACUAGAUAAGCACAAAAAUCAUUGAAUAUAAUCUUUCUACCAUAAGUACAUAUAUCUCAACAGAGCUCAGUAGCUCAAACAUUAUAUCUCAAAACAUCUUCAUAGUAUAUAGUCAUCCAUCAUAUAUACAAGAAAGAACGUAAAAAUCGAUAAAGUAUGGUAUUCCAAAGUAUUCUUAGUAAAGCAUGAUAUUUCAUAAAAUGUAAAUCUAAUUUACUCAUAAACGUUUCAUAAAACGUAACCAUUAAAUCAUGCUUUUCAUGUAUGCAUUUCUAAUAGUAAAAUAUGCAUUUUAGAAAGGGUCCACUCAUAGAUACCACGUCGUCGAAGUGUCGUGUGAAAUAGAAAGGACAAAAUCGCCAAUGCACCUAAGCACAUAAAGGGUACAAUUAAUAAAACUCUACCAUAACGAUUGAAUUUCAGAAAACGGACGUCAUAAACAGAUUCAGUAUGUUGAAAAACAUAAUGUGGACCUCGGGUACCCCCACGCGCCGCCAUGAGCCAAGAUGGAUCAUCGAAAAGUUGGCCAGAAAAGUUGCCAGCACCACCACGAUGGAGUGUGUGCUCCACUUACCGGCACUGGCAACCUUUCACGUGUACCCAUGUGUAGGCGGCGGCUCGUGUGCCCCACUUGCUGGCACUGGCAACUUUUCACGCCCACCCACGUGCAAGCCCACGCACCACUCACGUGCAAGCCCACGCGCCACUCACUUGCGACUUGGGUUUUGGGGUUCGAUUGGGCCUGGGCCGAAUCCUGGGCUUGGGUUCUAACGGGCUUUGGGCUUAAAAGCCCAGCCCAAAGCUUUGGGCUAGAGGACCCUCCAAUUUUGCUAGGGAGAAUACCUAAGCUUCCCAAGCUCUGAUCGACUCCAUUACUCAACCCUAUGGUGUGAUCUAGUUAUCAAAUUGAAACUUAGGAGGAGAGGAAGAGAUUCGCACCUACAACACACCGUGAGGUGGCCGGAGUUUGGUUCGAAAGUCCCGGGGCUCGCCAGAGUCUCUAACCUCUUGCACCAAUUUCCAUGGUGCUACUUUCUUGGUCCUGGGUUCGAAGGUUGGUGUAUGUGGGUCAUGGGUUCGAAGGUUGGUGUGUGUGUGUGUUUGUCGUCGAAGAGGGGAGAGCACCGAGAGAGAGAGAUCUGCGAGAGGGAUAGAAAGUGUGAGCUGAGAGAGAGAGUGACUCAGGGGAGAAGAGAGAAGAGGGAGCUGCCACGUGGCAGGCAGAGAGGAGAGGAGAGUGUUAAAAUAAUAGGAAGAAAUCCAAAAGGAAGGGGGAAAAUCCGGAUUGGGUAAUGGAUAAGGGCAAAAUAGUAAUUUCAUAAUUUUGUUAAAAUGAAAAUAUACAUAAUUUGGGAUGGGGUUUCACAACGGGUCGUUACACCUAUAAACGGGUCGGGUUUACUGGGUUUAGAUCGGGUUCAACCCAACCUGUUAAUUUAAUGAGUCACAUGAACUCAACCUGUUAAGCUAACAAGUCACCCAAAUCCAACCUGUUAAUCUAAUAAGUCACAUGUUUCACUCAUUAACACCCGUUCACAAUUUUUGUUUUUUGUUUUUUUUUGUUUUUACAUUUUGCAUUCCAAUACUAAUUACAGAUCUUUUAACCAAAAUUACAAACAUUAACUAACAGUCUAACAUCAAAUAUAUAUAACUCAUUAGGGUUUUACAAAAUGUGAAGCAUAGCUAUACGUCAUGGGGCAAUGCCGUAUUCAACAUCAUCAAGAUAUACUGCCAAAUUACAUAGCUACUUCAAGGAAGAAUUUGCAUAUCGAACACCCAAAAAUCUGCAACACACCCAGAGAACACAAUUAAUUUAGAAUCACAGAACAAGAUUUGGCUUACCAGACUAAAUUUGAAACAAAAAACGCAAUUAUGUCAUUCUGCUUUAGUGCCACGCAAUGUCCCAAUACUUAUAAGGCCAAGCCUGAUAAAAGUUGGCUUCCUGGACUAAAUUGGAAUUAUAUUUCAUGACAAGUCAAGGCCAAGGUGGUACUUAACAAGGUGCAAACACAAUUAUAUCACAAAACACAAAGGAUGCAUGCAGUGUUAAUUGUUUCUAUUCAUUUGCCCCAAUAGAAAGAAAAAACGGGAUAAAGAAGUGAAAUUUCCGUUAGUUUUGAUACCAAAUGAACAAUAAAAGUAAGCAUUAAUCUUGCGCAAUCCUUCCUAAUUAUUAAACAUCACAGAAAAUAUCUUUAAAAGAACAAGGGAAUUCUAAUUCGGGUGCAAAGGGUGGGCGCCAAAUGGCCUAACUCACAUCUACCAAUAGUUUUGACCUUCUACUUCCUGGAACAUAUAUAUUGUAGCCCAAAAAGCACCCAACUGCUGAAGUUUAGCUCAAAAAUUGACAUAUUAGGUUCCAAGAAUGCAACUUUAAGCUGUGAAAAUUCAAAUGGGAUCAAUACAAUCGUGCUUAAUAGCAGGAAAUGGGUGGCUUAAAAAUUCAAUCUUUUUGGACUUUCCAAAGAUUAUAAUUGCUAGACAAACGAAUACCCAAUUGGUUUUGAGCAAAUUAAGCACUUCAAUGUUCAACUAACUACUUAUAAGGUUGAAUAAAUCCAAGCUCAAUUUAGUUUUAUCGAUGACAACUAAUCCUCAAUGCAUAACAAAAGUAAUGCUUACAAUCAGUAAACUAGAUUCUGGUAUCGAGGAGAUUGGGAAUAUCAAGCAUGCCAGCAAGAAUUGAGAAUAUGAAAUAGCAUCGAAUCUAAUUCCAAUAUGCAUUCCCUCUAAAAGGAUUAAAGGGCAUCAAUACCAUGAAGGUUUGAGUUGGCAUAAACAAUCCAAUUAACGAGAUUGCAGAUGACAACAAAUGCAUUUUCAGAGAAUGCAGAAGAAAAGCCUCCAUAGCUGUAAAAAUUGAUUUCCCUUAAUUGAUUUGAGUGUAAAGAAUACUUAUCACAUUUUUUAUAUUAUAUUUGUACUACAUUUUAAAUAAAAGUAAAACCCGACAACACAUGCGAAUUCUAUUUUUAUUUAGUAAAAAUGUGAUAUAAAAAUGUGACAAGGGUAACACAUGAAGGGAGACCAACUGUUCAUGCCAAAUGAUGUGUCACUAAUAAGAAGUAAACAUGUUAAUUGACAGUUAAUUAAUAAUCCAAUCAUUAACAACCACAUAAUUUGGUUUACACAAUUUGGCCUCCCUAGUAUUACGGUUUUGUAAGUAUUAACUAUUUAGUAAAGGCUUAUUUUCUUACUAUGUUCUUGAGACUUGAUUUUUAGUCUCAUAACUAAAUUUGUUUUCGCUUAAUCAUAUAAAACUCAAUUUUUAUCUCACUUUAUCAUAGUUGUGUCAACUUUGUCGAAGAAGCGUUAAGCUUGGUUAUAAAAUAUGAUCACAUGGUACAACUAGUCUGGACGUUUAGAGUUUUGGGCAGACGACAUGGAUAUUAAACCAUUAAUAUCACAUUUUUAAUCAUCGUGUUAAGCUCGGGGUCCAUUGCCAUUGUCUCAAACGUAGCCGGGGGCACCUGUCUUAUCGACCCAUUCACAAUUGUCGUCAUCGUCGUAGUGCGAAUAUGAAUUUUGUGUAUAAAUUUUCGCGACUCUGUCUUGUUUUUUAAUUGCAUUGUGUUUGGACUGAAAAUAAACAAUUAUUUUCACUUUAAGCACUGAUGGGUAUUUAUUUUAAACAAAAAUUAACAAUGCGUCGGCUUAAAGAUUUCAAAAGUAUUUUACACGUGGUGUUGUAGAGCUUCAGUUGAUGUGCAAUUCUACACUAAAGCCUAAUGCUUUGUUUCUUUCUUUUUUUUUGGGUAAAUAACCCUAAUGCUACUUUCCCCGUUUUUCUGGUAUUUAUUUUUUGAACAUAUUAUUUACACUAAGGAGAAUGGGUGAGUUUAACCUCACAAUAUGUUAGUAAUAAUGUGGUUUAAACUUAUCUUUAGAGAGAAUCAAAUCUAAGAUCUCUCAUUUAUAAAUAAAAAUGAAUACCACUAAACUGUAAUAUUUAUUAAACAAAUGAUUUUGAUAACCUUUUUUCCUAGUCAAACGAAGAUAUUGUGAGCUUUUUCGGUGAAAAAGUUAUUGUGUAGUACUAGAAUAUUGUCACUUAAAUAAAGAGUAAAAUGAAACUGAUUUCCUAAAUUAAGUUUACAAAAUAACAUAUUAUCCCAUAUCGUGGACAUAAUGCAAAUUUAUAUUAAAUAUAUGUAUCAAUUUUAAGGUAAACUACCAAGUUCAACAUUCCAUUUGGAUUAAGCUAUAAUUUGAAGGAAGACAUUUAUAAGCAUAGGAAAAUUUGAAGGAAUACAUUAAUAAAUAUUUUUAAUUCCUGUAAUACUCUUAUUAAACAAUAAAAAAUGACAUUAUUUAUCCUUCAAAACACAUUUUAUACUUAAAGAACAAUGUGACUGCCAUCACCUACCCCCACCCAACCUAACCUCUUACACCACCAUUGCCAUGACUGUUGAAUAUAUCAUUCUAGCUCAACUAUAGUUAGUUAGACGGUUGAGAAUGUGGCUGCGUUGUUAUAGCUGUUAUUGAAUUAGUUAGUCAUGAUGGCUAUAUAAAAUGUAUUCUCAUAGUUGUAAAUAUUAAUUCAGUAUCAAUACCAUCAAUUGUUUCUCUCUCUAAACUCUCUCUCUCUCAAACUCUCUGUGUUCAUCUAUUUCUCUUCAUCUUUCUUCUUGAUUUUCUCUUCAAUUCCCAAACACUACAAUGUAGUUAACAUGGUAUUAGAGCCACCAGGCUCACGCCAUGAUUCUGGUGGUUCCGUUUUUCAUUAGAUUUUGUCAUUUUCAUCGUUUUCAUUUCAUUAGAUUUUCUCUUCAAAUUUCUUGAAUUUUCCGUCAAGUUCUUCAGUGGGGUUCCAGAGAGAUGAAGUUUUGAUCAUUCCCAACUGGGUUUUGGAAAUUCGAUCAGAAUCCAUCACGUGGGCUCUCAACAGAACAACAAAUGCUCAGGUGCAAGUGUUAUUUCAUACAAAAUUUCGUUCUUGCCGGGUUCCAAGAGCAAGAUGGGUCUCGGUCCUAGGUGGUACUACAUCCGCCGUGUUAGAUUGAAUGGUCGAUGAUUUUUGGUGUUUCUCUGGAUGUAAUGGUCGAUGAUUUCUGGUGUUUCUCUGUGCGUUUUGCAAUCAAGAACUGAAGAUUCAUGUUUCAUCUUUCUUUAUGCACUCCAAAUGUUUGUUUGAUUGUCUCAGUGAGGAAUUCUGUGUUAAUUCUUGUAUCAAGGUCGAUAGCCAUUUACUGAUUUAGAAGAAUAUGAAGGCCGAUUGCCAUUUCUUCUAAGUGACAGAUAGAUUCUUUGAUUAAAUAUUGUUUGCGAUUUUGUGCACUCGAUAUUGUGUUGAAUGCAAUUUGUUUCCUCCAUAAGGCCGAUAGCCGGAGUGAAAAGUUCUGUCUCAGAUAUUGUGUGUUACUCCUUAAAGGCCGAUAGCCGAAGUAAAGUUCUUGAAAAGUUUUGUUUGUUGUUAUUGUGUGCAGCUCCAUUAAGGCUGAUUGCCGGAGUGCAGUUCUUGUUCCCUUUCUUCAUUGAAGGCCGAUUGCCGAAGAGGGUGUGUUUCUUGAUUUCUGUGAUUGUAAAGCAAAUUUGAAAAUGAGUAGUGAUUUGACGAACCCACCUGGACUGGUCGUAUUAACCGCUGUGAUUGUUCUGCAUUUCUCAAGUCAAUAAUUUUCUCCCCCGUUGAAAAUAAGUUCCAGAUUAAUGUGCCCAUGAUGUAUAAUACAACUGAGACCUUAAAUACAUCAUCCCAAAAACCUCGUUGGAGUAUGUAGCCGGUUGCAUCUGUACCGAAGACACCAGCAAGAACUCCUGCUGUGUUUGAGAGUCCCAGCAAUACUCCAGCAUAGCGAGGUCCAAUGUCUUGGUGGUUGGAGUAGAGACCCGAUUGUGAAAAUGCAUCAGAUCCCUGACUGCAUGCUAUGCAUAGUACUCCCAUUACAGGUGUCUUGACACGGCUCAUCAGUGUGAGGAAAAAGGCUGGUCUCAAAAACCCAAUUGAUUGCAUGAUCUUGCGAACUGUUGUUACAGAGAAACCUUUGCUGACAAGUGCAUUUGCAAUCCAGCCUCCUAUAUUUGCAAAAAUAGCCAUUGUCAACCAUGGCAAGACGCAAAGGAGCCCGGAUUCAGUGAGGUUGGAUUUCAAAACCUGAUUGUAGUAUGUUGGCAUCCAUGUCAAUAGAAUAAAUGUUCCCCAAUUGUGGCAAAAGUGGCAGACUAUAAGAGUCCAAACAGGUGGUUUUGAUAAUAUUAGCUUCCAAGGAAUGACCUUAUAUGUUUCCACCCAUGAUAAGCUCUUUUUCCUCUGCGCUAAGCUCCGAAUCUUCUUUUGGUGUCGCUAUGCCUGCUAUGAAUAACAUACUCUCUAAAUGGAUUCUAAUGUCUGAGAGAAGCAGAGUACUUUAAUUGGUAUAUACUGGCAUGUACCUUGGUUCUGCUGUCUCUCCGAUUCUAAUCCAGAAGUUUAAAUGGCCAUGUGUGUUUUACUCAUUUGGCUUCAAUCUCAAACUGGGAAACCCAAUUGAGAUUGAGGGGGGAUGUUGAAUAUAUCAUUCUAGCUCAACAAUAGUUAGUUAGACGGUUGAGAAUGUGGCUGCGUUGUUAUAGUUGUUAUUGAAUUAGUUAGUCAUGAUGGCUAUAUAAAAUGUAUUCUCAUAGUUGUAAAUAUUCAUUGAGUAUCAAUACCAUCAAUUGUUUCUCUCUCAAACUCUCUGUGCUCAUCUAUUUCUCUUCAUCUUUCUUCUUAAUUUUCUCUUCAAUUCCCAAACACUACAAUGUAGUUAACAAUGACCACCACCACAACCAUAACCGUCACCACUACCACCACAACCACAACUUCCACUACCAUUGUUGCUACCAUCACCACCACCGUCACCACUAUCAUAUACAAAACUGGCAUCAUCGCCGUUGUUGUUGCCCUUGCCAUUAUUGUUAACUUUGCAACCCAUCCACUGCACCCCUUUAUUGCAGCCCAAGCGCCAAACCCCUUUAUUGGCACCACCACCACCACCAUCACAAUCAUUGCCCUCGCCGUUAUUGUCAUUGGCAUCACCCCCACUAUCAUGUUUAUUUUUGUCAUUAUAUACAAUUAUAUCCCUUUUACAUUAAAUAUUACCAAACACUUACACUAUUUUUCAUACUCACAACACUUCUAAAAUACAGUUUACUAAACGCUUAAUUUCUUUAAUUUGCAGCUGAUCACUCUUAAAACACAACAGAAGCAGUUAAAAAAACAUAUAUUCUGACUAAAAGUUUAAACUUGUUAUUUAAACUUUAAACUAUGUUGAUGCACAAAAUCAGCGAGACUUUGGAACAAUGUGAAGUGUCGAGUUUAUGACCUUCGCACGGUUACUCCGGUCACUUAGUGAGGAUAAUAUAUAAAGAUAUAGAGAUAGGGAAGCAAACACAAGAUUAGGGAUGGCAACAGGGCGGAUUGGGUUCGUAUGUGCCAUCCCCAUAAUCGAACCCGUUUGUUUUCCCCAUACCUGAAAUCGUAAAAAACCUGAACGGGUAUUCUCCGUAACCGAAUCAGUCCGGUAACAGAUUCUCUAUUGGGUAACGGUUUUCCAAUAAUCAUAAAAUUUGACUGAUUAAAUAGUGAGACGGACGAGGAGGCUGAUGGUGUUUCGGUGGUUGGUUCUCGGGGUAGAGGAGUUCUCAUUAAUAGUAAAAGGUUUACACAAAUACAUAGGUUCAAGCAUAAUCAUCAUUAGUGGGUUCUAAUGACUAGUUUAAGUACAAUAAUGACAUUAGGGAUUCAUUGUAGGAGAAUGGUCUUCUUUGAUUGGCCUCCUGGUUGGAGGGAACCCCUUGUGCUUCGGCAAGGGUGCCUUAGCAUGAAUCCUUCAGUAAGUCCUUGAAGGUAUGAAGUUGAUUAGUGCUUGGUAGUUUCGGGAUUGGUCAAGUAUGAUACAAACAAUGUUCCCCUAGGUUCUUGAGUGAGGAAAGCUUCUUGAUUGGGAACUUGAAAAAUCCAAAGUCAUUGAGUAAUCACAAAACUUCUGAGUAUCGAAGUGUAGUAACAUAUUGUCAUGCCCCGAUCCCGACAUAUGUCUAGGAUCGACACGUGACGUCACCAAAUACUCGUAUAUCUCACAUAUCCCAUCUUUGGGAUAUGGCAAAUCACAACUCGAAAAUCAAAUUGCAAAGUAAUUUUUCGUUUACUUUAUGGCUGCAUCCAAUCUCUUCGUUAGACUGCCUACGUACCUUCAAUAGGGAUCAAGCCAUUCGUAGUUCACUUAUCACAAAAUUAGACGUUUAUUCCACUAAGUUCAAGCAGAAAAGCAUAGCAUUCCUCAAUUAUUUAUUAUAAACUGACAACAUGUAAUUCCUAGAUGUAGGCUACAUAACCAACUCCAAUGAAAACAAGAUUUCUCUCCUAUCCAACAUAUAAAUCAUUAUGUCUCAUCAUGAUAUCGCAAUUCACAACAUACAUCAUAUUUAAGAACCGACGAAACACAAAAUCAUUCUCUAGCUGCAUUAAUUAAUUAAUUUGAUCAAAGUAAUAACAAUUAUUCCCAUAUCUUCUAAAUUCAUACCUUAUGAAAUCAUAAUCGAUCGUAGAAAAUCCCGAAAGAGUCACUUAGACGUCCAACAUCUUUUCUAACUCAACUCACAAGAUUCUCGAAACCAUUGACACAAAUAUGUAUAAAACUAAGGCUAGAGUGACACAGUUAGGCCAAGCAUACUGUUGUAAACUGAAAUAGAAAGGAACGAAGUUACCCGAAAAAUGUAGAAGCCUUGAGUGGUGAAUGAUUCUUGGGAUGAGUCACGGACUAAGUCGCUCUCUUUAAGACGUUUCGCGGCUCUGCCCAAAGUGCAAGCAGUUCACAAACAACACGUCGUCCCCAGGAUAAAACAACCCAGAAUCUUCUUCUUCUGAUAAGAUUCUUCCUUGCACACCGGAAGAACCUUUGAACUCACACCCUCUCAAUAUGUUGGUUUUUAAAUCAAUAUUUGUAAAAACUUUUUUUUUCUCAUCUGUAUUUUUUAUAUAUAUACCAUCUUCCUAUAUAUAUAUAUAUAUAUAUAUAUAUAUAAGUAGACGUAAGAAAUCAAGGGAGUUAAAGGGGAUUUAUGGGGUGCAAAAUGUCUGCAAUCAAAUGCAAAACCGCAGGGAAUCAAAUGCAAAACUGUAUGCAAUCAAAGGUCGAUAACAAUUUAAGUUUUAUAUUUAAUGUUUGUAAUAAACCGAAAUAUAAAUAUAUUUAAAAUAUUUAAAUAAAAACAUAACUGCUCUAACAAUCCCCAACUUGUUUUUAUUUAAAAAAUAUAUAUCAAGCAACAUAUCAUAAAGCUAUGCAUAAGUAAAGGUGUUUCUCAACUUGAACCUGUACAUAGUGUUAGUGAUCCAGAUUAUACUACAGUAACUUAUUGUCUUGAACUCUAUCUCUGACAACACAACACAUAUAACUUUAUUAAGAUGAAGUUCAAAAAGCCAGCACAUUACGACCAUGUGCUUGUAUCUCAGUAUAGUGAACGUUCUAGAAACUUGCCCAAGAUUUCAUAGGAAGCGGCCUCACUUCCACAUUCACAUAGGUAAGACUAUCAAGGAUAUUCCUGUAACUAGAUAUCACACUCAACAUAGAGUAUAGACCUUACUAAGAGAAAAAAUCUCAACCUAAAAAUGCUUCAGGAUGUCAUGCUUCGUAGGGAUGGACAUGGAAUAAUAUUCCAAAUUAAAAUUAGCAAGGCUUCACUCAUAUCACUUGUGACUUGUUAUUACCAUUUGAACCUAUUUCUUGGGAUCUCCAGUCUAUAGGUUGGGUUGCUAUCAUAAAUGACUCAAUUUUCUACAGGCUUUAGUCCCAUCCCUUUCAAGGUUUUUCAAACCUUUUCUCGUGUUAGUCCUUUCGUCAAAUGAUCAAUCAAAAUUUCUUCAGACCGUAUAUGACUGGAAUCGGUUUCUCCCAUAAAGGGGUAUCUGAUAGUAGGUUCAUAAAUUUUAGAAGAAUUAGAACCCCCACUAUUUCAAAGAUUAAAAGGAAAUUUAUUCUCAUAAAAAUCAGCAUCAAAUGACUCAAUUAUGACAUUUUUAAUAGCAUCAACAUUCAAUUUAAACUUUUCAUCAGUAGCAUAUCCCUUUCCCACAAAAACCCCAUUUUUAGUAAGAGUAUACGGAUAUGCUCCAAUGGUUUGAGUAAAUCCAGUCUUAUUGAGAAGAAAGCCCGAGACCAAAUUCUUCUUUAUUGCUGGAGCGUGCAUGCAUCACAUCUUUCAGUAUCAUGGUUUUUUCAGAGGUGAACCUCAGCUCCAUCUCUCAAGUACCAGCAACAUCAGUUAAGUGCGAAUCACCCAACAACACCUUCUUUCCCUCAACCACAGAAUAAGUCUUGAAAAGAGAACGAUCAUAGCAAACAUGGUGAGAAACGCCAGUGUCCACCCACCACCCAUCAGAUCCAUCAACAAAGUUGAUUUCUGAUAUCAUUGCAAUCAGUUGCUCUUCAACAAGAUUUACCUGUGGAGCAUGGCUUUUCUUAUUUCUGCAAUUCUGGGCAAAAUGGCCCAGCUUGUGACAGUUAUAGCAUUCAAACCAUCACGAAUCAGAAGCAACACAUGAGGGGGGUUGGUACCUAUUCUAGAGAUGAGAGGGUUUUUUGAUUCUGAACCUUGUUUGUGUUGUUGUUGAGGCGCUUGUUGUGAUUCUUGUUCUGAAUCUUCAUGUUCUUCCCAUUUGGCUUCAGCACAGCUAGAGUUUCCAAUUGAAGUUGGUAGCCUUCUGGUUGCUUGACACGACCAAAAUUUCCUCCUUCAAUUCUUGUUUCCUGGCCUCUUCCUCAAUGAGAAGUCAACUGAUCAAGCUUUCCAGGGAGAACUCUUUUGUCUUGUGGCGGAGUGAGUUCUUGAAAUUUUUCCAGGUUGGUGGCAAUUUAUCCAUGAUGACAGCAACUUGAAAUUGAUCAUCUAAAACCAUACCUUCAGAAAUAAUUUCAUCAGUAAUUUUCUGUAAUUCAUGAGAUUGUGCUUCAACAGAUUUAAUAACCAUAUGAUAUUUCAAAUAACGACCAACAUCAAAUUUCUUAGCUCCUGCUUCCUCAGUGUCAUAUUUUUCUGAAGUGCCUCCCAUAAAUCUUUAGCAAUACCAUAAUCAGAGUAGUAGUCAUAAAGGUCAUCAGACAAUCCAUUAAGUAUAUAAUUCUUAGCAAGAAAAUCAUUUUCAAUCCAAGUUUGUAAAGCUUUGGUCUGUGCAAUAGUGGGCUCUUCAGGGAGAGUUGGUUUGAUAGUGGUGCAAAAAGAAGCCAAUUUUUUUGUGGUGACAAAAAAUAACAUCUUCUGCCUCCAACGCUUAAAGUGGAGACCCUCAAACUUGGAAGGCUUGUUAAGGUCGAGUGUGGUGUUGUUUUCAGAUUCCAUGGCAGAUUGAUCUCGUCUUAAAAUUGUUGUAAACUGAAAUAGAAAUGAACAAAGUUACCCAAAAAAUGUAGAAGCCUUGAGUGGUGAAUGAUUCUUGGGAUGAGUCGCGGACUAAGUCGCUCUCUUUAAGACGUUUCGCAGCUCUACUCAAAAUGUGCAAGCAGUUCACAAAUACUACGUCGUCCCCAGGAUAAAACAACCCAGAAUCUUAUUCUUUUGAUAAGAUUCUUCCUUGCACACCGGAAGAACCUUCGAACUCACACUUUUUCAAUAUGUUGGUUUUUAAAUCAAUAUUUGUAAAAACUUUUUUUUCUCAUCUGUAUUUUUUUAUAUAUAUACCAUCUUCCUAUAUAUAUAUAAGUAGACGUUAGAAAUCAAGGGAGUUAAAAAGGAUUUAUGGGGUGUAAAACGGCUGCAAUCAAAUGCAAAACUGUUUUCAAUCAAAGGUUGAUAACAAUUUAUGUUUUUUAUUUAAUGUUUGUAAUAAACCGAAAUAUAAAUAUAUUUAAAAUAUUUAAAUAAAAACAUAAUUGCUCCAACACCUACUUCUCCAAAUAAUGGGUUUUUAGACUAUUCCACGAAAUUCAACAACCUCGGGUUCCGAACCACUCAACAGAACCAAACUAAAUAUGAUCGCCUAUCAAAUGUACCAAGUACAACUAAUCAUCAUCAUCUCUAGAAUGCGUAUGGUCCCCCAUCGCGGAUAUACCAAGCAGAACCAUAGACAUAAUCUCAUCAUGCAGUGAUCACCCAUCGCGGAUAUACCAAGCAGGACUAUAUCAUAUAGCUCUAGGUAGUGAUCACUCAUCGCGGAUAUACCAAGCAUGAUCACUCCUAGCAUGUGUAUGGUCCCCCAUUAUGGAUAUACCAAGCAGGACCAUCCAUGUACCACUACUACAUGGUGCAAUCUCAUCAUCACACAUUAUACAUAAUUAUACGCAUACAUGCUAUCGAUUCCCCAUAUCAACCAGCAUCUAGUCAUAUGGAGCACAACACAAGGAAUUCCCUUAAUUACUAUUUCUACUAAAAAUCUAAUAAAGUACCUAACUCAUCUCCUGACUUUCAUCUUCAUCUCAUGCUAGGUAGUAAUGCCAAGUUCAAAUAGGUAUUCAGUUGGCAAUCAUAUCCAAAUAAUUAUCAAACAAUAUUUAGAUCCCAUAAUUGUCAUAACAUUCAUCAUAAUUAUCAAUCACAUUAUUAAAGAGAUAAUUAAACACGUAUAUAUCACAAACAUCAUCAGUACACAAGCCAAAUCCUAUUUAAUAAGCAUAGGUCUAUGGUUAAAUAUAUAAAAAUCACAUUUCAAUAGAAAUCAUAUUUAUAAGACAAAAUCAUAUUCACAAAUCAUACCAAUACAAGAAAUUAAGAUAAUAAUCAAAUCACUAUCUAACCAAUAUAGGCCCACUAGAUUUCAAUUAGUACCGUAGUACUAAUUUUAUUAUUUAGACCGUUUCGAGACAUGUUGACCACAAGUCAACUCUCGGUCAAAGA